GUUUUUUGUGGGCAUCCACAUUUGAAGGCCGCAUAAAGCAGAAAGCAACAACAAUUAUAUAUAUGGGAACUGUUCCAAUCUGACUCUCGGAUUGGAACAGUUUCCGGGAUAAAGGCUAGUGGCAUUUGGAUUUAAAUCCAAAGGCCACGAGUGGCUGCAUAUGGUGGAGCCCACCAUAUGCAGCCAACAAAUAAAAAAAACAAAAAACAAAAAACAAAAGAAGCCAUAUGUAGGAUGGCAAAAUCCGGGUCCGGUUCUGGGUUCGGUCUUCUUGGUUCCGGACCCGGAUGUCAUUUUCUUUUUACCGGACCCACAUAUAAUCCGGAUUUUUUACAUGCGGGUCCGGUCCGGGUUCAACCCGGAAAAAUUAAGGGUCCCGAAUUCCGGGUUUGAAACCCGGAUUGUCUUUUGAAUUAUGAUUAAAAAAUGAAAAAAAAAAUUGGAAACUACAAUUCAAUCACAAAUUAAAACCGAUUAACCUUUUUUUCCGUGAAAUUCAGGCAGGUACACAGGAUAGAUCUUAAUAUGAAGGCGUUGCAAAUACUACCAACAAAAUUCAAUAAAUUAAUAACCUAAUAUAGGAAGUGGAUGCACGAAAAUUACAAUUAAUUUUGAAUUGUAAUGGCAUCAAAGACCGUGGCCCACCCAAAUCCACCAUGCAAUGCCAUCAAAGACAGCCCCCACCAUGGAAUAUGACAAACGAGAAGCACAGGCGGGCUUAGAGGUGGAAGCUAAUCCAGGCGAUUUUGCAACAGUUGAGCGAUUGAGAAGGAAUGGUGGUCGCAGCAGUGCAGAGAAGAGGAACACAGCAACUGAUGAUGAUAAUGAACACAGAGAAGAGAAAAUGGCCGAAGUGAUGACGACGACGACUUGAUUUGAUGAAGAGAAAAGGAAAUAUGGUUGGCGGCCGGCGGAUGUGAGAUUUGAGAAGAGGAAUGCGAAUUGCAAAAUUAGGGCCGGCUGUGCGCAUUAUUAUUUCCUUCCUUUCUUUUCUAUUUAUAUUAAAAAUUAUUAAAAAUUUAAUAUUAAAAUGAAAGAUAUCCGGGUCCGGGUUUCGGAUAUGCGGGUUCACCUAAACCCUGACCCGGACCGGAUAUCAUCCGGGUUCAUAAAAUUAAAUCCGGAUCCGCAUUUUAUAUAACUGCAAUACGGGUUCAACCCGGACCGGAUUAUCCGGGUUCGUCCGGGUCCGAUCCGGGUCCGGGUUAUUCUGCCAUCCCUAGCCAUAUGGUAGUUGGAUUUCAAUCCAACGGCCCCUAAGGGUCCCUGUGUAUUUUCGAAAAGUGAUCCAAUUCGAAGCUCCCGAAUUGGAUCACUGUCCCAUAUAUAAAUGUUCUAAUUUAAAAUUUUAAAGUAUAAAAAAGUUUGAAAAAACUUUAAAACUGCAUGAUUUUAAAGGCUUAAAAUAGGAGCCCCCACUGAAAAAAAAAACUCAUUUUUGUUUAAAAGAAAAAUUAAUAAAUUUUUAAAUAAUCCCUGUUAGAUUAUCAAAUAGUCUCGUUCUUUCAGUUUCUACAACCACAUCAGAAAUAACAUUUUCAGCAAUGAAAUUUGUGAAGAAUGAACUUCGCAAUCGGAUAGGAGAUGAAUGGAUAAAUAAUAAUUUGAUUGUUUAUGUAAAAAAAGAUGUAUUUAAUAGUGUUGAUAAUGAAUCUAUUACGCAAUAUUUUCAGAAUAUGAAAUCGCGUAGAGAACAAUUGUAAAUGUGUUAUAAAAAUUUUUAUAUAUUCAAGUUUUAAUUUUUAUAUUUUAUUGUCAUUUAAUUUAACUCCCGAUAAAUUAUUUUUCUAGAUCCGUCACUGCCUGCAGCCCACUUAUUUAGAAGGUGUUCACCCACUUUUACCCAUACUUAGCACAAAAUGGUUGGGCCGUAAGUUACUAGGGUCAUGUUAAGUUACAGUAUAUAAAAUAAAAUGAAAAAGAAAUAGUUGGUGGUGGUGUCGUUUAGUUACUCGAACCCAGAAAGGAACAAAGGUGGUGAUAAUUAGGUCAAAAUCGCAUGCAGAGGCACAUGUGUCGGGCUGAUAAGCUGAGAUGCUUAUACUUUAUGACAUAAUUUUUGUAACCGACGAGUGCUUAUUCGUCGGCGAUGUAAAAUCUGACCGCAUCUUCCGCGACCGUUUCCUGGCGUUUUUUUGUGACAAAACGACAAAUCAACCGAACCAACAUCGCCCUGUUCUACACGCUCGUGCAUGUAGUUAAAAACCACCAGCCUCAGUUAGCAAAAUUUACUAUUAGUCUCUCUUUAUUUAUUUUUUCUUCUUUUUUUCAUAUUACUUCAUUUACAUGUUAAAAUGUGUGCUUUGAAUGAAAGUAAUACAUCACCAAAUGAUCAAUUGUUGUGUGGAUUUUUUUUUUAGAUCUCGACAGUAAUAUGGAAUUUUUCAUUUUGUUAAAGUAAAGGAUAAAUCAAAAGAUAAAGAGAUUCCUUAUAUAAAUAUAUAAUUCUUUUUUAAUGAGGACAUUUUUAAUUUGUUAAAGUGAUGAUAUUAUUAAUAUAUAUAAAAAAUGCAUAUUUUAAUACAUUAGUAAAUAAAAAAUAUAAUAAAAUAUGUGUAUUUUUAUAUUUUAGUGGCAUUAUAUACACACACCUUAAAUAAUGGAAAGUAUUAAUUAAAAUUAUGAUUACACGUUAAUUCCAUAAAAAUCAGAAAACGUGAGUAUACAAAAAUUAGCUUUAGAGAAAUAAUAAUUUAUCCACGUAUUUGCUUUAUUAUGCUUUUUUCUUCAAACGUAUUUGCUUUAUUAUGCUUUUUUCUUCAGAAAUAAUAAUUUAUCCACGUAUUUGCUUUAUUAUGCUUUUUUCUUCAAAAAAAAAAAACUGAAUUUAGAACAGUGACUUACAUUCCUUUGGUGGGCUACCGUCAAAGGGAAAAAUGAAAGGGAGAUGAGAAAGUACAUCAUGAUUAAUGAUGAAUGAUAAUGAUUCAAACUAUAGAGUGAAAGUUUAUGUUAUGGAAUCAAAUUGAAGAUAUAUUAUAUUUUUGCAAUUCUACUAAAAAAAUUAAAGAAGCCGUCUUUUUUAUAUUCAGUUUCUCACUCCACAUCCAACCACAUCCAACGGCUGAUGCUGCAGUCUGUACCUUACAGAUUCUGUAAGCUAGUCGAGUCCUCAUCGACGAUAAUAAAAUAUCCUCAUUACUUUUUACUUUACUAUUUAUUUGGGAAAUCGAGUUUGCUUUUACAAAGCCAUUAAUUUUAAUAAUAAAAAUUAAGCAAUUUAAAUAUUGAGUAGAUACAGGCUAAAAUGUUUCAUACCGGUACUCAAUUUGUUCAACCAAUGGAUGUGAAAAAUUAUAUUUAUACCCAACCAUUAUUUAUUAAUGGCAGUUAAAUUAGGCCGAUUUCUAUUAGGGCUUUAUAGAGCUUAUCUCCGUGAAGAUUUUUGUCAUUCUUGUUGGAAUUUUUUCAAUUCUCAUAAAGCAAAUAAACCCUAAUUUGAAUAAAUUUUAAUCCCUAAGAUCAUAGAAUAUCAUAAUUUUCAUAUCAUCAUAACUGAGAGAAAACAUACAUUGAUUCAUAGUAAUUUUUCUUGAUCAAAUCUCACUACUAAGAGUUAGAGAUUAGCAAAAUUGAAUUCUUUCUCUUGACUCUUUUAGAGUGACUCAUUUUUUUAUGGAGAGAAAAUUAACGUGAUAUCCUUUUAUAUAUCGGGUGGAAAGAUGACCAAUUUUAAUAAAAUCUUAAUUCUCACUUUCCAUCAAAAUAAACAGUUAGUUUUUCCCAAUUGACCAAUAGGAUUUCAACCCAUAAUUUAUUUUAUUAUUAUUAAUUUAAUAAUGUGGCACGUGGUCCACUAUAAAAUAUUCCAACAAUCCCGUCUUAAUACAUCGGUUCAUAAUAAUUUUAAGUCAUAUGCUAACAUUAGUGAAGGUACAUGUUUUCUAACAUAACUUGGUAAGCAUAACAUUAGUAAAACUUAUUCCUAAAAAUUGAGCAAUAAGUCAAUUAUAUUCUCGUGAGAAUUAUUAAAUUCAUUCAAUGUUGUUGCUUUUUGUUUGCUUAACUUUUUGUCUAACGUAUGAUUUAAAAGCAAUUGAUGGUAAUAUUUUUAUGAUGUAUUUAUUAAACUAAGCAAACUAAUUAAUAUGAAAAUUGAUUUGAAUAUGUCUUGAUAUGUACUAUCAUGUUAAGUUCGGUAUUGAUUUGUAAUUAAUUAUUGUGGCAAUUGAUUUGACAUUCAAUGCUGAUAAAUCGUCUCUAAAUUCCAUGCUGAUUAUCAUUAAUUAUUGCCUGAUCACUAAAUAAAGUUGUAAUAACAACAAUUUUUUUUUCUUUUAUUACGAAUAUGCUCAUCCAUUGGCCUUUCAGAAUCAUCAUCAUCUGCACGUGGACACCAACAAAACUAGCCGGUGUAAUAAGUAAUAUAUGGUAAAAAAAACUCAUGCGGGCCUGUCCCCUAAUGAUGUUAUAUGUUGUGGUAGAAUAGUGAGCCUUUUUGUAAAAUUCAUAUAUUUUUAAUAUUAAAUUUAAUAAACUUAAUGUUGGUCCUAUAAUGGGAUAUACUACUUUGCCACAUGACAAAGUAAUAUAUCUUAAUGCAUCAACAUAUUUAGGUGGUGGGACAACUCUACACAAAUCUUUCUCAUAAAAUAUAAAUAUCACAAUGUAAUAUUUAUGUCACAGAUAAUAUAUGAAAGAACUUAAUGAAAACUAUUUUAUUUUACAAAAAAAUUUAUAUUUGUAAUUUUUUAUUUUUCAUUAUAUUUUUAUGAAUUCUUUAGUUAUAACUGAAAGACAUUUAUUUUAUAUAUACAUAAUAAAUUAUUUUAAGAUGUUGGAGAAAAUUUAAUAUAAACAGUUAUGCCUAAUAGAAAAUUUUCAAAUGUAAUGACUCUUGACAACAGUUAAGGCCAUCAUUCCCGUUGGAGUUCUCCAUGACCGAUUUUAAUAUUCUCUUGAACAUAAGUGUUUGCAUAUUAUACCUAGUAAAUUAGUGAGUAUUAACUUUUUAACUCACUUGUUUAUAUGAUAAAGACUCAAUGAUGGAGAAAGAAAGAAAUUUUGGUCAAGGGCAACGAUAAUACUAAUAAAAAUAAUAAGUGUUUAUCAAAGAUAUAAAUGUAAGAUCUAUGCAUUUUAUUUUGUAUACAAUUAAUGUUGACUAAGAUGCACAAGAAUUCCUAUCUAAAUGUGAGUUUAUUAGUUUUAGGAGUAUCUUGUCUAAUUUGUAUUUUAUUUUAUUUUAUUUUUUAAAUUUAUGUCAUUUAGGUAAUUCUUAUUGGAAUCAUAAUUCCAGUAUAAAUAAAGGUCUUUCUGUGGGUAUUUUGAACUUUUGUUAUCUCUCAAUAUUUUUAUGGAAUUGAUGAGAUGUAAAUGGUUACAAUAUUAUGUGGCAUUCGUUUUUUGUCUGAAAUGUAAAUAGACAUUAACUAGUCUGAAUUCUGAAUAAAAUAUAAUGUCUGAAUCUAAAUGAUAUGUUUUUUUUUUUUUGUUUGAAUUGUUAAAAUGAAUAUAAGCUCUUUUUUUUUAACUGAAAAAUCCAAAAACUAGUAUUUUUACAUUUGUGUCCUUACAAAUUAUAAAUGUUGAACAAAUAAUAAAUAUCUCAAAGAAUUUAAAUAAGAUAAUAUAUUAUCAUAAUAUAAAUCAUGUUCAAUCAAAUAAAAAUAUUCUAAAUUAGUAUAUGUCAAUCAAUUUAUUGUAGUUUAUGAUGUUUUUAUAUGAAAAAUAUUCAUAAAAUAAGACAAAUAAUGCUAAUUUAAAGAAAAUAAAAAGAUAAAAAUAAUAAUAGUUUACCAUUAUAUUAUCAUAAGUUGUAGAGAUGGGUAAUAAUAUUAAUUAUUAAAUUUUAUUUAGGUAAGGAUGAAAAUUGAUUAAUUAGAUAAGAAUAUUUUGGAGAAUAUCUUUCGAUGAUAUUAUUCAGAUUUUUUAGAUUAAGUAAAAAAGCUAUAAAAAAAAAAUAACUUACUAACUUAAUGACUGAAAAUCUUUAUUAAGUUGAAAAACAAAUGGAUUUAAUGACUUAAAUCAGUUAAGUCAUUAAGUCAAAAAAACAAACAUGCCCUUAAUUAGGGAGAUCACCAAUUUCCUUUUACUGAAAUCAAUAUAUAUUAUUUAUCUCUCUAUUAUUUUUAUAAUAUCCAAAAACAUUCUAACACCAAAAAAUUUAAAGAAAAGAAAGAUUAAUGAGUCAUUUGCUUGAUAAUAUAUAUUGGAAAUAUAAAAUAUAUAUUUAUUGUGAGAAAAAUAUUUAAAAAAUAACAAAAAGUACAAGAAAACAUCUUAUUAUUAUUAUUUUUAUUUACACCGAAAUAUAUAUUUAUAUUUUUAACACUUAAUUUUUUUUCAUAUAUAUAAUUUAUUUUAUUUAUAACAAAUAUGAAUAAAAGUGUAUUUUAAAAUAAAGAUAAUACUGAAAAAUUAUGCUGCCAAGGAGAUUAUUGGCUAUUAUAAAAAUCGUAGGGGGUAAGUAAUAUAUCUUAAUUUGAGUAAAAGAAAAACUGACAAUCUCCUUAUUAAUUAUUCUCAUCAUCUAUGCAUUGUUUUUUAUCCAUUCUUGGACUAAAUAUAGUAUAUCAGUAACCCUUUCGUUGCAUCAACAACAAUAUUAUCAUUUAUCUAACAUUUUUACCUAUUUUAUCCUUAAACUGUAGCCAAGUUGGCUUAACAACUUGUAAUGAAAACAAAGAGCAAUGAUAACCUAGCAAAAAUAUUGAAAAGUUGAUAAAAAUAAUGUUGAAUAGGUGCCAAUGAAACGCUGUAUAUCGGCAUUGGUUUAAAUUUAUUUUUAUUUGCGCUCUAUCAGUGCCAUGUCUCUUUUAUCAUUUUUCUGAAAAUAAAGGGUCAAAAAUUCAAGUUUAAGAGGAUAUGUUUCAUUUUGUGGGAUGAGUUAGGAUACAUAAUAUAACUGAAAAAGGUUAUUAAAAAAAAUAAUAAUAAUGAGAGGCAACCUGAAGUUUUGUCAACCCAUCUCAUUUUAAUUUUACUUGAGCUUGGGUCCAAAUGAUUUGACAUUUUGCAAGCGGUUCUGUCAUAUAACACAUUGACAUAAAUUAUCAAUUGUCACGCAUUUUAAAUACAUAUAAAUACUUCCCCUGAAAACAUUUACUGAAACUAAUUUUAUUUUAAAAAUUCCAGUGGGAACCACUGCCCCACCCGGUCUCUUUGUGGUUGCAUCUGAUGCACUCUACCUUCACAAAAGUUAUUGAAAAAUGUUUUUGGGCAUUCCUAACGUUGCUUGACAUUUUCUUUUCUCUAAGAUAUUUUAUUAAUAUAAAACGUUUACCCCAAAAAAAAAAAGAAAAAUUGCAUUACAGGAUUUUGAGAUGUGAAACAAGCAAACUCAUGCAGCAUCCUUUACCACUUACCCAAACCUCAUCGCCUCAGCUUCAGAAAAAGCUACAUCACCAUCAAAUUUUCAAAUUUUGAAAUUUUGAAAUUUUGAAAUUUUGAUCUGCAUUACUGGGGCUACAAUAAUGCCUUUUACGCCUCAAACUGUUAAAAAAUCUGAAAAUAUUUGUAAGUAUCACAUUUAACUUCAAGGGAUUUACCGCAUGUUGAAUGAAAAACCUAUAUUACCACCGUCAAAAUUAAUUAGCUUUAAAGGUCAUCUCUUCCAAAUACCAUUGACUUUCUAUUUCAUAACUAAAGCUUCUAUUUCACAACAGUUACAACUUAAAAGCGGCCGCACGAAAAUACUAAACGGAGACUAAAUCACUUGAUCUACAAUUUCAACAAUGGUAUUAGUACUACCAAAAAGAAAUGUCUGCAGGGUGUAAAACGUUCUUUAGCUUAUAUUUUUUAUUAUACAGUUACAUGGUGUAUCGAUGCAAUGAGGUUAACAGCGCGAGCCAAGAGAGACCAAUUAAAGCUGUCAACAGAAACUAGGAGAGCCUUUGAAAAAAAAAACGACACCUGGUAACUAUGGAUGAAUGGCUGGGGUCAAAAUUAUUCCUCUUGGCCAAUCACUAUCCGCGACCCAGUAAAAAGAAACUGUCAUCUCUUUAGCUUUGCAUAGGAUCAGAGUCAUUCUUCUGAUGUUCGAGAAUGAUAUUACAAUUGUUCAUGGUGCGCGCAUCAAGAAGACCAUGAUUCCAUAGCUUGAUCAUGAACAAUCUCCAACACCUGCCAAGCCAAAGGCAAAUUAACAUACAAGAUGUCAAGGUGUUAAACAUGGUAAUUUCUUUAAUUAAAAAAAAUGAAAAAAUAUAUCAUAUUCCACCCUAGAAAUAAAAACAGUAAAGAAAACAAACUCAUAAUUUCUGGAAGCAGAACUCAAACAGAACAGAAGCAUCGAGCUCACGUUCAUACAACCCUAUUUACUGAUUAAUUAGUUUGUUUGAAAUAAUGCUUUCACACAUAUUACCACAUACUUGACUCUUAUCAAUUUCCAGCAUACAAGAGCAAACUAGAUAAAAUUACUACAUCAGCUUGUCAAUUGUAUAAGUCCAAUCCAUCUGAAAAUGAAGGUACAAAACCUUAUCAUGACUUUUUGACUUUUAACAAGCUGAAUCAAAGAUAUUACUAUAUACGAAUUUGAACCAUCGACUUUUGUGUAUAUGCCUCGAUCUGAAUCCUACUAUUGCUUAAUAAUUCAUAAUUCAUAAUUCAAUAUAAAAUUAAAAUAAAUAACAAAAAAUAUAAAAAUAAUAGUAGUAUAUUAAAAAAAAACCUACAUGAAGAUGCAAUUUUACAUGCAUAGGAGGCAAAUUUUAGCACAAGCUAUUCAUAAACAUCUGCCUAAAAACAAUUCAAUUCAAUGGACAGAGUUAAACUACCAUUUCAGUGCUGGGGCUUGGACUAGAUCGUGUCCAUACAAUUUAGUAAAUGCUUCACAUGCCCAGGGAAUAUGACCAUCAGCCAGCACACUGUCACCACAAGUUGUUGAAAUUUUGUUAGCACAUAAAAAUAAGAAGCUGAACAUGUGAGAAUAUUUUGCUAACACUUGAUGGAAUAUAUAAGGAUAAACAUAGAGAAACAGAUCAUGCACGACAUUGUAGUACAUUACAAGUAGGACAGAAAUGUCUGACGGCAUCUAGAGCAGUCAAAAGGGUAAGAAUUUUGGUGCAGAUUAUAAGAUGUGGGUUUAAAUCUUAGUUAUGAUGGUCAAUUUUAACUCAAUCUGAACCACCAUAAUUACAUGAAUAUACAACCUAGUAUGAGCUUAAUAAUUGAUUACUUUAGAAGAAGUAUAAGCAAAAAUUAUUAACUAUGCCAUCAGAUUUGUAUACAUCUCGGUGACAAUCCAAUAAAAAAUGGUGACCAUAUCGAAUAAUGGAGCUUCUAACACCUCCUUACAAUUAUUUUGCAACCCCACUUUUUAUAUUUGUCGCUCUUUAUUUGAUUAAAAUUAUAGAAAAGGACAAAAAUUACAAUAUAAUUAACGUGUACAAUCAUCUAGAAUAAAUCAAUUAAAUUAUAAAUAUACUUUUCAUUAAAAAAAUCUUAUUAUUAGGUAAUUUAUAUCUUCACUAUUUCAAAAUUAUUUUGAUUUUAUUAGAUAAUUAAUUAUAUGAUAUAAUAGGAUUUAAAGAUAGUUGGGGAUUCAUGUUUUGUAAAGAAAUUUUAAUUUAAUUUAAUUCAUAUUUGUCUUUUUAUGCAAAUCCUGUAGUCAUAGAACUAUAGUUUAAAAAAGGGGUUUUUAUAAGGAUAUUGAAGGGGUGUAAAAAGCAUUACCCAAUAACAAAAUCAGUUCCCAGACUACUAACUGAAUUUCGGUUGUCAGAUCGGUUACAAGUGAAUCAACAGACCAGGUUAACACCUACCACCAACUCAAAUAUACUGUUUCCCACAGAUUUGAUUUCAAUGGGCAUCAAAGCCAAAAGCUUUAAAAGCCAAACCCAAAGGAGUGAUCUGACAACCUCAGAUGUCAAGAAAACAAACAUAUAGACGAGGGUUGAGAAGGCAGGAUAAACAAGAAUAUGGCUAUAGUGCAGCUAAAUGACUAACCCAACAGGUCCCAUCCUUGUUGAGUGAACUCAGAAACCCAACAUAAAAUAGAUAAGAGACCACAAGGAGAAUUUUGCCUUUUUUCAGAGGGAUUGAGAAUGCCACAGAAUGGUUUCUGCCUAGUCACAGCUAGAGAAGAAACAUUUUCAGUAGCAAUAAUAAUAAACAAUACAAAGCAAGACAAAUACCGUUGCUUCCUCACAAAGGAGUUCCACAUGUGCAUCAUUUGUUUUUCAUCUUUGGUAACAUCCACAAAAUCAUCAAGCAUCUGCAACAUUCUUAAAUAUGUUAAUGCUGUGCCAUAUUCUAAAUGCAAAGACCAAAAUACACAGCAGCGAAUUUUGUAAAAAGGAAUCCCAGAAGGAACAAGGUUCAAAAUCAAUUGAGGAUGCUAGCUCUAUAACUUAGCCAGCCCUCAUCACUCAUCAACACAAAGAUUAGAGAGAAAAUGUUUUUCUGAUUACGUCCAUUCAAGUUAUGGUAAGCACGCACUUAUAUGAAUCAUUGAAUAAUAAUUAAAAGUGAAUUCACAAUUGAUAAUCAGAAACCUAAGCAGGCUAUGAUAUUCUGAUGAUUGAAUAGUCAAGGGGGACCUUUCCGAAGUUUGGAAUGGCAUCCAACCAUGCUUGAUCCUAGAAAUACCAAAAACUUUGUAAAUACCAACAACUUUCAAAUUAAAAUCUUUGGAAAGGCACAACAUAAAAUGUUCUCUUUUUGUUAACUUAUCAUUGAUUUCAUCCAUAUUUUUUCAAUAGCAGGAAUAUGGUAUAAUCAAUCAGUUAAAUUCUUCAAUGAACAUGGUAAAUUAGAGGCCAAUUGGAUAUACAACUGAUUCCUCAGUGCAAGCUAAAACUUAACUUCUGAUCUAUGCAAGAAAAACUUUGUUCUACUGCAGACUACAUUACAAAUAAAACAAGAUUUGGAGUGAAAUCAUGGAAAGUACCCUUCGAUCUUCCAAAUCUGCAACAUCGUCAUCAACUUCAUCCUCACUAUCCCGGUCCGACACUACUUGCUCCCACGCCAUUGGCUUCAAAAUGCAGAAAGUUUAGACAAUUUAGAUAUUAGAAACAUGAAUUCGUUUUAAUGAAAUAAAAAAUGAGCAGUUUAUAGGUGUUCAAAAGCAUAUAUAAUACUAAUCAAUGACAUUGAUUUAUUUUGGGAGCCUGGGCAGUUGGCUAGAAUAAACCAAUAAGCUUGCAAAAAGGAAGUUCCAAAAUUCAUUUUGAUGUAAUAAUCAAAGACUAUCCUCAGCAUCUCAAAGAACUCUGAUUUCCUCAAUUCAUCUAACGUCAGUAAUAAAUAUAGCACCGCAAAAAUUUGACAGAAACAGAACUCAAACAAUUAAAGAACUUCAUUGCAUAUAUCACUAAUUUGUUUUCUUUUAGGAAAAAAUAUUCCAGACUAGAAAACUAGUGGUAAAUAAAAAGUACUACAGCAAAACCUCUCUAUAGUCAUAUUGUUGGGACCAAACUAAUUAAUUACUAUGAGGAGGUUAUAACUUCAUAGAGGUGUAGUUACAAAAAUUAAUGUUUUGACUCAAUUAUCCUUGGUACAAGAGAUAUAAAGGUAAAAUAUGCACUAUAUCAAUAAUUAAUUAAAGGAACAUGUCAAAUUCAAUGUAAAUUCCAUAAAUAUUGUGCAUUGCAUAAAUCAUUGGCCCAAACAAUUUUAAAGAAAAUAAAUUUCUUGGAAUAUACAAAUAAUUAUUACUAUAUGGAGGGAAGUUCCAUAAGACGGAAUCUAGAAAAUUGUAGCUAAUUACAAUGUAGAGUUCAUUCUUAUUUAUAACUGGCCCAAAUUGGAACCAGAAUUUUUUUUUUUUUUCUACUAUAUAAAGGUUAUUCCUAUAUAGAGUAUCACUAAAGACAGGUUUUACUACAUGUAAAUUCAUGUGGUUAAGCCAAUAUUACUCUUGAAAGAGACACUCCUCCAAUUUUACACCUGGAACAAAAUCCCCUCCCCACCCCUGUGAGCUGGUUCAAACCUCUUGUAAUGCCCCCCAAGAGGUUUUACCAGCUAAACAAGGUAGCACCCACUACUUUGGCAAGAAAACUGAAAAUACAGAGGUAAAAGUUUCUGAAAAGGACAUCACAAAUCCAAACAUCCAUCACACUGUAAAAAGCAAACACAAAAAAUUGACCAUAAAUCCAAUGACAAACCAUUAGUUAGCUACCUGAGCUCUAUGCGAGUGGAAGAACUGUCGCUUUUGAAGGAGGGUACGGCUGAAAAGAAUGAGAAAAAUGAUACAUUAAAACCCACUUUCGCACUUUCACAUGCGACCAAUUUGGGACUUAUUACAAAAUAUAGAGACGAUGAGAUAAUAUUUUAAAUUUCUCCCAUAAAUGAGCAGUGUCCAUCCUCACAAAAUAUCCAAACUAAAUUGACAUCCAGAUUCAGAACUCGUUAGUUCAAAGCAUGAACCUUAAAAGCAGGAUAUAAAGAAUUCAGAGAUUGAAAAAUAUCAUUGGCAACUCUGUAGCUAGUUCUGCUGCUAAAGUUAACUUUUAAAACCACGUUACAAAAACUAGUUAAACAACUUCAACCUAAUUUUAAACACUAAACUGGUAGAAACUGCAAAUUAUGACCAUUAUUACAGAAGUACCAAGCUCAAAACAUUUAAAGAAAAACAGAAAGGAAAUGGAAAUUGCCUCCAGCAUGAAAAUAAAAUGUUUAAACACAAAAGAGAACUAACACUUACUUCCUCGAAUCAGAACGUUCAAUAGAUAACUUUCUCGUCUUCGCAAAUUGUAGCAUGGCAGGUGCCGCAAGGUUGUUUCCAGAUAACAACUGAUAUUCUGGAUCAGUAUACAAUUGUGCAUCAGCAUUUGAAGCCCCUGCAACAUUAAAGCUGGAAGGAACAUGUUGUGCACUCUCAGCAACAGCAAUAAUAGAAUUCCGGUAAUCAUUCCCACCUGUGACGCAAGGCUUUUCAUGUUAGUUGUUCGAUAAUAAGAAAUUCUAGAAAUCAGUCAUGCACUCAAAACACAUAACUGUUUCAGCUUAUCAAAAACCAAAUUGAGCUAUCAGUCAAUCUCCAGAUGAUGUCAAAGAAUACACUCAAUCUGAUCAAAACUCAUUUUUUUAGGACUGGUUAGUAGCAAACAGAUCGAUCACAUUGUUUUUUGGCAGGAACACAAUUUGUGGCCUCAGCAAGUGAAAAUACAGGAAAGAGAAACAAAGCAAGAUUUUCAUUAGAAUGGCAUACCCAAAUUCAUUUAGGAACAGCAUUCCCACAGGUGCAUGCCACAGUCAUGAAUGUAACAUCAAAUCAUUAAGACUCAAAUGCCAACUUGAUUACCAUUUUAUGAGAUACACAUGAGAAACUCAUUAGAGUAUCAACUCCACAAGCCUACUGAAACUGCAUGGAAAGUCCCACCCAGUCAAGGAAAAGCUCUGAAGAUUUAUUUUUUACACUUGAUAGCCUUCCUUCGGCAAAACCAUGUGCUCAAACUAGUUCUUAUAGUGCAUCAGAUUCAGGAUUCUUGAUAAAGCUAACCUACACAAGCUCUAACAAACUGCAAAACAUCCAAUUAUUCAAGAAAAUAAGAAAUUAUCCAGAGAUGGGUUACUGCUGUCGAUCUCCAUGAAUUUUUCUUUCCUUUUUUGGAUUAAAUAUUCACAAUCACCUAAUGCUUUCAUAAGUUAAACCAAACUAGAAUUAUGGAUGAUAUAGACAUAAAUUCUCACAAAGUGAAUGGAUUAAAAAAAAAUUGAAAAUCCUUUUCAUGGAGAUGUCUUGUAGAUCUCUUUGACGGGGUUCCCAUUGGGAUGCUGCAGUUUUAAGAAAAUCUCCACUCACUUGGUCCUUGCCGCUUUGUUUCAUUUCCACUAAUUGAUCAUGGGAGAACCUUGUCACCCUACUAGUUUCUAUGUAAAACUCACAUAAACAAAAACAAUAAGAAAAAAAAAAUUGCACUUCUAGAAGCUACAGGUCAACCAGUUUCAAUAAGCUUCUGCAGACUUUAUUAGAAGGUUGGUAUCCUUCAAAAUGCAUAUAAUAGAACACGCACCGUCAGCUUUGUCAAGUAGUUCACACACUCCUGGAGGCUUCAAAACAAGUGGAUGUACAUGCUUCGACUGUUGAAGUAGGCUUUUUAACCUCCUGUGUCUUCGUUGCUUUGAGCUAUGCAUAAAAAAUUCAUUCAUCAUUUUCAGUUCAUCAUAAAAAAUAUGCAUACAGACUACAUAUGUGCCAAAACAACUGCAAAGAGAAAACUUUGAAAGAAGAAAUAUAAAUUAGAUGAUUUACCAAAAGAAGAAUGUUUGCUGCUUAGGAUCAACACCAUCCGCAACAACCUGAAUAGAAAAUAUUGGCACAUAAAUGAAAACUUCAAUGACCUUCGUUUAAACAUCAUGCUGAUUUUAAAACUUACACAUAGGCAAAAACUGAAAUUCGAUGAAGCAAUUGUUCAAUCAACAAAUAAUUCUAAAUUCAAAAAUCACCUAAAUGCAUUGCAUAUGAGAGUUUGCCUUCAGGUCAAGAGCUAACUUAAAGCUACACAGUAUAAACUGCAUUAUUAUUGAUUGUAACUAAAUGAACACAAUCUAUUAGGAAACAAAUCAUUGUGGAUCUACAUGUCUGUAAGCAAUUAAGCAGAUACAAGAAAAGAUACAGAUUACAAGAGCAACAAAACUGGAGCAAGAUGUAUCAAAUUCUCAUUCAUCUUCCAUAUUCAACCCUCUUCUAUUUCUUUUUCCUUUUGUUUUUAAUUUUUCUACACGAACAAAUGCCAGUUAAUACCAAUGAAGUACCAAGAAGAUUCCUCCACAAGUAGUUUCCAGGGAGAAAAAAUUUCUAACCUCAGAUCUCCAAAUAUCAGUUUUCACUGAGACAUUUACAGCCUGAUAUUCUUCAGUUACCUACAAUAAUUUUUUUCUCACUUUAGCAGUUACAAUUUGAAAAAUCAAAAUUAUCAUAAAGCAACCACAGCUCCUGAGGUUUACCAACCCAAAAUUCAAAGUUGAAUAGAUCGUGUGAUGAAGAGAGGUGGUAUCUCAGACCCUACAAAAAAUUUUUAAAACAAAAAGUUCAUCAAGCAUGACAUUUUAGCUAGUAUAAAACCAAAACAGAGAUGAAGUGUAUAUGUCAAAGAAAAGGUUCAACCUUAAAGCUUGCACAUUUUGCCAAGCAGAAAGGACAUGAAAAGUCUUCAGUGACUGCAGGUCAAAAGAUUAAUCAGGUUUACAUCAUUACAAGAACAAAUUCAUAGAAUACCUAUUCUAGAAAAUUAGAACCAAAAAGUACGUUUUUCUAGAACCAAACAUUACAUAGUUAUUUCAGAACCAGACACACCUAAACAACAAAUAGGCUACACAAUCAUAGUAAUAAUAAUAAUAAAAAAAAACCAUUAACUAUAUAUAUAAGAAGCAAAAAGGAGAUUAAGAAUAAAUUAUCAUACCUUCAGUUCUUUGCAAUUUGUUGUUGUAAUAUCUAUAGUUGAAGACAACAUUUCCAGCCCUCAACCUAAAAUUCAAGCAGCAAAUAUUUUUAGUGUGCACACCAUUUGCUUUAGUAAAUCCAGCAAGGGAAAAGUAGAAGCAUUAACCACUAAGAAUGCCAAACACACUAAUCACUAAUUUCACAGCAGAGAGAAAUUUGUAUUCAUCUGAGGAUUAAAAUUCUAAAGCUAAACUCAAUGAAAGCUUACACGAGGAGCAUUUAACACUCAAUUCUUCAGUUACAUUAACAUGUUUUUUUAGUUUUCUUAUUUCAUUAAACAAUAUCUUCAUGUCUCACAUUAUAUUUCAUAAGCAAUUGCUCACAACUUCCAAUCAAUCAUAAAAUGUUCUUCCUUGAUUUUCUCCUAAGGACUUGAACUUUACUUGAAUCCAUAAUGAAACUAGUGUAAACUAGCUGCAAAUUGUUCUUCCUUAGUGGUUGCAAAGAUCUUGAGCUUACCACCAAAUGAAGGACAUUGUUUAAUGUUAGCAUAAACUUGAAUGAGUUCUUGAUUUGAAAUUUUUUUUGGGGGGUAAUAGAUAGGAAACAAUCUGAGGAUUGUUCUAACAUUUUCAAGGAUGUGCUGAGUAAAAGCUUAUGUUCAAAAUUUAACAAGUGGAUGUUCUGAUUUAAAGGGUGUACAAACCACCCAAAUGUUUGACAUCGUGAAUUCUGAUACAUAAAGAAACAAAUCAUGCAAACAACAGAAACUUAAAAUCAAUCUUUCCCCGACUAAGAAAAGCUCUAAGUUCAAUAUAACCAACAAUCAUCUUAUUAAGCAGCAAAAAAUGGAGAAAGUAACCAUUAUAAUUGCAGAGCCAAUUGAGAACUACAUUUAACGAUUACAAGGAAUAUUACCGAAUAAUACGGGACAAUGAUGGAGAAGAAAUAUCACUACAAGUAAACGAAUUAUAAGGAGAUUUGUCCCUUCCCCCAAUUUCUUCAGCAGAAAUGGUGACAUGUACCUGUUGUGACGUACUCUUUUGGAAACCCAGAAAAUUGCAAAAUAGAGGGGGAAAAUCAGAUAUAUGAUUAAUGAAAAGGGGGAAAAAGAUCCUAGUUGAAAAGGAAAACAUAAGAACAGCACAAACCGAGGAUCCAGAAUUAAAGGGCAUUUGAAUUGAGACACAUUUGUCCUUGUCCAAACAACUCAACUGCAACGUGAAACAGAAACAAUUAAAACAUGAUUUAGAUGGGAAUUCUUUUACUUUUACAAAAAUAAAAAAUAAAAAUGAUAAGAUAAUUUCUGAACAGCCAAAUGCAACAAAUUAUACAAAAUGAAACCUAUUUUCACUUCAAAUUUCAAGUUAAAAAUUUAUAGUUCUGCAUAUUCAGACAUUUGAGAUAGUUCUGCAUAAUUCAGACAUUUGAUCACAUAGUGCUUCUUGUACACAAUUUAAGCUAGUCUUUUUGCGAUCCUCAUUUUGGAAGCUAUGUAUUCCUUCUACAAUCCUGUUUCUUCUUUGAGAAGUCUAGAUAAUAAAACGUUUUCAGUUGUCUUCUCCUGUAUGUUAGAAGUGUAAUUAAGAACGUAAAAACAACCAAUAUGAUGGAAUGAAGAAUUGCGAACUGGAAAUUCUAGCACUCCUGAAGUUAGCGAAUUUAUAUUGUCGCUCUAUAUAUCAUGUUACGUAAAUUCUGAGCACCAACUUGAUGGUGAAGGCAUUCUAUCGAAAUUGUGGUAUUUCAGAAGUCAGAACUUUAUCCAGGUUAAACAUAUAGUCGUCAACUUUGAGUUGAUGACAUCUACCAUAUUAACACUUGGCAAGCAGCAUCCAUACUGAAGAACUUUAGUCCGACCAUAAAUCAUACCAUUUUGCAAACCAUUUAACAUAUAAAUCCAUCUUCAACAAUAGUCAUUGUAGUUCAAUGUUUGCCAUUUUAAAAUUAAAAGAUGAAAUUCAUCAGACAAAGAACUGUAUUUGACAAAAUUCAGGUGUUGCUCCUCCAAAACAUUAGAUUAUUUCAUAUAGAAAAUUUUGAAACAAAUUAGGAUCCCAGACAGCCAAUUGAGCAUAUGCCUAUUAGUUAUCUACAUGACGUUCAGUGAGUCAAAGAAAAAAUACGGAAUAAGAAAAAUGAAAAUGAAAAAUUUUCAGACAGUGACAUUAUCUAAGCAGUUUAGCAAAAGCAAUAAACCAACAUGCUAAGUUAACAUUCAAGAAUAAGCAAGCUGAAAACGAACAAAAAUUUUAAAAGAGGCUGCCUCAUGGUAUACCUUUAAGAAGCCAGAAUGCAUGUCAACAGGAUAUGUCAACUCAGCUCUCUGCCCCAGACUCAAAUUUGGGGACUUCUCCCAUGACCUGUACAGUGAUUCCAAUGGUAUCUUUCCCCAGUGGCAAUAUCCUCCAUCAUUUGCUGCAUAUCAAAUUGAACUGAAUUUAAAUUGGCGAAAGAAUUCUCAAAGUUAAACAGAAGUUACCUUCACACCAGUAAUCCAGUGAGGUAACUUUAAAAAAUUCAAGAUACAUAGAUAAGUCUUUUGAACCCCUGACCUCUUUGUUUGUUGGAUGCAAGAGUACUGAACCGAACCCCUAAGGAUUACACACAUGCUAUAGAUUUUCUUAACUAGCAAGCAAAUUUAUUUGGAAAGAUAGCAGGGUUGAGAUGCUUCAUCACCUUUUUUUUUUUUUAAAUAAGUUUUUUCUCUUACCAAAACUAAAUUCAAAUCAUCAUAGAAGGUUAAUAUAUUAACAGAUCAAUGCUUUAGCAUCUCUAGAUUUCAAUGUUCAUCCAAAUCAUCAUGAUGACUAGUUUGUCUCCAUCCGAGAAAGGAAUUUCCACAAAUUACAAAAAUGCUGAAACUAGUUAUAAAAAUUAACUAAUACAGCACAUACAGAAGUUAAAUCAAUCAUAGCAAAAUUUGAGAAUCAUUGGUAUCUAAAUCCUCCAUGCAGUUUAAAUGAACUGACCAAAAUGUUAGGCAUGCAAUGUCAUUCAAAAUAAGGGUCUGUUUGGGAUUGAAGUUGGACAGCUGUAACUUAAAAGUUGCAACACUAAAGUGUUUGGUAAACACUAGCUGCUGCAGUUUAGAAACUAUGUUGAUAAGAUUUUUCACUUGUAUGAUGAAAAAUCUAUUAUAUCUUUAAUAAUUUUAUCAAAAUUAUUAUUUAAAAUUUAUAUUUACUACAUACUAUUAACUUUUGUUUUACAGUUAUAGCUUUUUUUCUAUAGUAGCUGUGCUUAAAAGCUACAGCACCUCAAUCCCAAACAGGACCUAAGUUGGCAAUGAAAAUAUAUCUCACAUGGAGUCAAUGUCGUACCCAAGCGAGCCUUGGUUAAAUCAGUUCCACUUGAAGAAUUUGGGCUUCCAGCUGCAAUGAAUAUAAAUCAUAAAAUUCAUACGUAAAUCCUGGCUCAUUAAUCAAAUUACACCUAAAGGUAUGUGGUAAAAAAAUUACCAAAGUUGACAAGCAAGAUUGCAAGUGUGCAAGACUUUGCCUUCAGCUGCAGCCUACUAAUCUCGGGGAGGACAAAAUUUGCCUGGACCUGAGUACUGCCCUCAACUCCAGUGAAAUUGGUCAAGAUGCACGCUCGGCUGAAGCGAUAUACAGCAGAAUACUUCAUUUCAAAUAUAGGACAUAGCUAAAUUAGAAAUCAAAUGGCAAUCUAAGUACAAUAAACAGUAAAAUACAGCCAUGAUAUCAAACAGGCGGGAAUUCUUUAAUAAAUAAAUAAUAGAGCUUUAUGUGUGCACAUCAAAAUAACAAUCAGCUUAUGCAUUCCUACCUCUGAAACUGUAGUGCCAGAUACUAAUCUUCCCAGCAAAAUGUACAAAGGAAAGGGAAACCGAGCUUGUAAACCUUCAUUAACAGUUUCUGACAGGGAAAUUGUCAUUUGUAUUCUGCAUGAUUAACCAAUAAUAUACAAAGUUAGUACCUCAAAGGCAUUCAAUGAAAGCAAACGAGCCAAUAUUAUUAAACAACUUCAAUCUACCAAAUGACAUUUUUGACACAGUACUACAAGAAGCAAACCCACAAAGCCACUGUUUCAAGUUAUAUGGCACUGAAUACAAAUCCAAUAAAUCAAAAUCAAGUUAAUAAAAUUAAUUGAAAUCAAAUUGCUUUAAACAUUCAUGUUCAGUUAUCAUUCAAAGCUUAUGUAUAGGUCAUAUAAUCCAAUUAGCCAUAGUUUGCUUCACAUUUUUGAACAAAUGAGAAAUUCACUAAAUUUUUAUGUGCUGGAACCAGAUGUCAAAAGCACAAUGUAUAAGAGAAAAAGUUAUAUAAGUUUAACAAAACUGAUUGUUGCCAUUACACAUGCCAAUUAGAAAAUUUCAACAGAUAAUGAAUCUGGACAACUUAAAAACAGCAGCAAUAAUGUUUAUUCAGUUUUACUUUCCAAGGUGCUACCAAACAGUUCCCAUAAAUGAUGGAUACACCUUUUCUUCAGAAGACUAAUUUAUUACAAUCAAUAAGGCUAUAAAGUUGUAACCCUAAGAUGCAGAAAUUCCCAAGAGACUCUGAAAUUAUGGAGCUCCAUUCUGCAUGCAUUACAUAAUAGAAAAUGAUUCCAUAGCCUGCACCAUAGAAUAGGAAAGAAUUUCAUGAUCACUUAUCAAUUUGUCAAUCAAAAGCCUAACAGCAACCCGCCAAGGACUGUUUUUGAUUUAUCAUGACAAAAAUCAGUGAUCAAGCAGUAAGUCAAAUCAACUCAAGAGAGCUAUAAUCUCGACCAAUAGCAUAACCCCCUCGAAAUAGUAGAAAGUAAUAUUAUUUGCAAAUCAGCAUAUCAAACUUCAACACCAUCCCAUAGAUUUUUCCUUCAACUUAAUGUUCAAUCUACAAUAGCAAAAUAUUCCAAACACACUUCUCCCUUCAUUUACACCAAAGGACAAAGUCCUCAAUUUUUGUUGGCUUUUCUUUGGGGAAAAUCAAAUGAAAAUUAAAAAUCAACCCCAUUAGUGAUGUCUUUAUCGUAAAUCUUCACAAAAAUUAUAUUUUGUGAAACUUGAACAAAACGCCUGACAUGAGAUGAUGUAACUUGAACAUUAAAACAUUCCGAAAAGCUCAUUGGAUUCAUGUACGGCUACACAUAAACUGGAGCCGUCCUUAAUGUAAAAUUGCCAACUUGAUUGAUUUAAUGAAAUUCCAUUCCUGAAAGUACCUAUGCUUUUAGCAAGUAUUUGAACACUAAAUGCAGGUCAACUCAGUUCUCUGAUUAUUUUUUUUUUAUAAAUCUAUCGUAGACAGAAAGAAAAGAAAUUACUACAAACACAUGGGAUUUCCAACUGCCACACAUUUUUCUAGAAAACUAGGGUCAGCUAAUCAUUGCUCAAAGAAUAACAGCCAAAACUGAAAUCUUCGUCCAUAACCAAAAUUACGAGUAACAUGUUAAACUAGUUGUUCCACUUGUCAUAAUGAAUUUUCACAAUGCACUAUUGUACUUCAAAAAAUUUAUAAAAUUACAACCAAAAAAUACACAAAUAAAUAAAAGAUGAAGCUUAGUUACCUCCGAUUGUGCUUUUCAUGAAUUUGGUAGCUCAAACAUCUUUGAAGAAAUGACGGCUGUUUCAGAUAAAUUGGCUCAGUUAGAAACAUCAAAAGCAAAAUGGAAAAACCUAUUAAUACAAACAUUGAGAUUUGAGUGCAACAACAAAGGAAAUACUUCUGGGCAUUUGCAAUCAGAAAAACAAGAGGGUCCAAAUUCCAAAUAAAAUAUUAUUUCUAAUAAUACAAGACCAUCUUUUUGAAAAGAAACAAACAAAAUGAGAUGCAACAAAGUGCAGGACUACAUACAAAAAGUGCAGGAUUAUAAACAAAUCAAAUACAUUACAUUUCUUAUAGCACGCCGUUGAAGAAUGUUGUAAAGUUCUACAGGUUUGCAAUAAAUUGACAGACUCUCUUCAGCAGCAAUUUCCUCUUCUGCAGAUAAAUGCACACGAGCAUCUUCACGGCACAUCUGAUCUGUGCUUCUGGAGUAUCUACAACAGAAAAAAAUCAUAAUCCUGAUCUCAUCUAAUAUAACCUCCCAUCAUAAAGAUCCACUGGAAUUUUAUACAUAAUUAGCAGGGAAAAUUCACAGUCUUCACAUAGGCUCGAAGCCUUCAUCAUGAUUCAUGCUUAAUGAAAGCUUCCCAUAUUUCUCUAGAGAUAUACACACAUCCCAAAACAUCACAGAUGGAAAGUACUACACAAGUAAUCAGUUUCUUGAAAUUCAGUUUUAAUAACACACAAUCACAUAAAAGAAAAUACAAAAGAUAUAGGUGCGCUCUUUACCACUUUCAAAAAUUUAAUUUUGAAAUUCAAAACAGACAGAAAAAGGAUUCACCACAGUUCUUGAAAAAUACAAAAAUAAUUUGAAAACAGAAUGUUAAACUCAAAGUGACUCAAGAGUUUAUGCUAAUGAAAAACAAGAAUUAGAAAAAUAAUAUAAAAUCAAAUAAACUAUAAAUCUUGCUUUAUUCUCCAAAAACUAGUUCGAAUACAAGUCCUAAAAGUGUUUUCAAAAUUUCAAUUCAGAAAAAUUAAUUUGACAUCCAGUUUCUCGUUUUCAUUAACCAAGACAGCUUUCAGCAUUCCUCGAAAACAGUACCAAAUGAGCCUCAAAUAAUUCUGCAGAAAACCUCAAUAUUAAUCAAGCAGCAAAAUCAUCACUGUCGUCCUCCAACCAACGAACCGAUAGUCCUAUGAAUUGCUCAAAUUAGUAUCCACUAUUCAAAAUAAAAUAAAAUAAAAAUCCUCAUCUGCAUCCUCAAGAUGCAAGCAACUAUUACAAAACCUCUAGAAUCUCUUAAUAGACAAAAAUACAUAAUAAUAUAACAUUGAAUAGUCUGAUAGCAAAAACAACAAUCGCAUUACUUAUCAGCAAGUACGAAAAAUUCAAACAACUCUUAAUUCAAAUAUCAUUGAAAUGACUAGAGCGUAACAAAAGUAACACAAAACGAAUCGUUUUGUGGAGAACAUACGAGGAAGUUUCACGUGCCACUAGAGGGAUGCCCGGCAUUCUUCCUAGAUAACACCGAAGUUCGAAUUCGUCAUAGCUCCUCAGCAAAGCCAACUCAAAUACCUACACGAUUAUUAAAAAAAAUUAUCAAAAAUAUACAUUAAUCAAUUCAAACGCGCAACAAUUCAUAAAGUAUAAACAAAUUAGUAAUUAAUUAGUUAUUUGUUUUAAAAAAUAAAAGCUUAAGCGGAGUAUCCAUGCGAACCUUAUAGAAAUAAAAACCCUAAGAUUAAGAAAAGUUAAUUUAGAUAUUUGGAAGUAAACUUGAGGAAGCUUUAGGUUAACGAGAAGUUCCUUCAGGAAUCCGCAGCGUUUUGAGAGAGAGAUAAGAGUGAGAGUUAGAUUAACGACGACUCAGUUAUCGAGGCUUGUUUUGGUUUUCAUUUGUUGGGUUCAGUGCUUUCAGCUCUUCGUAAAAAGCACGUUAACAGCUUCGGUACUCUGCGGUCAAGUAAAAAUGGUCAAAAUUGGUUUUUUAUUUUUACAGUGGUAUAUAUGGGGAACGAUAGCCGCGCAGUCCUUUGUACACGUGGCUUCCUUUGUAAAAAGCACGUUAAAAAUUUGUCAUAAUUUUAUUAAAUUAUGAUAAAAAAUAAUAAUACCCCACAUUUUAAAAUUUUGCUUUUUUUUCUUAUCAACAUCUUUAUUGAGGUUGCAGACACCACCUUUUUUUUUUUUAACUUAAAAUUGAGAGCUUGCAUCUCCCGUAAUUUUCUUUUUAGAUUUAUUUAGGUUCGAUUUAUUUUUUCAGCUAAUAGAAUCUCUUUGUCAUUACAUUUGCAUAAUAUUGUAAAAGGGGUAAAUUAAAAGAACAAAUAACUUUUGUAAUUUGAUGAAAUAAUCAUAAAAAUUGUCUUAUAUUUUAAAAGGGGUAUGUAUGACCAAAAAAAAAAAAAUCUAGGUGAUUAUUUACUAAAACAAAAGGUUCUUUGUAACCAUUUUCUAAACUACAAAGGUGUUCCUCUCCUUUUUCCUUUUUUUUUUUGGAAGGAAAAUUAGAUUUUCAUUAAGCCAAAGUUGAGAAUACAGAUUCGACUUCAGUUGGCAAAGGUUCCAGCCAUAUAACAGUUUCAUUACUCCUUAAGGCUAACUCAGCUCAGGAAUGUGCAUAAGCAUUACAUGAUCUAGGGUUGUAAUGGAAACUAAUAUUCUGUAAGUCCUUACUUUGGUUUUGGAUUUUUGAAAUCACUCACAUAAUCUCUGAACUACUACCCUUUUUGUUGUUUACCAGCUGCACCACAUCUUGACAAUAUGUCUCUACCAUUAGACAGUGAAGGGAUGCACCUUUUACCACAACUAAGCCCCAUUCAAUAGCUUCAGCUUCUACAGUCUUUACAUCUCCUGUAAAUUGUGUGGAUUUGACAGCAACUACUAUAACUUUGUUAUUUAAGUCUCUAAUUACAGCACCCAAGCCUGCUAUUCAUUUUUCAAAGUUAACAAUAGCAUCAACAUUAACCUUGAAUACAUUAGUAGGUGGAGGGCUCUAAUUCUGCUGCUUCUUUGAGUUAUGCUUUCCUCCUGGAUCUUGAUAAGCCUUUAUAACAACCUAUACUCUUGUAAUAGUCAGAAAAGGAUCCAACUUUUUGAGGGAAAAAAGUUGAUUACUCCUAUCAUACCAAAUAGCCUAACAAAGAGCCACAAGGAUUUCAAUAUCUUGCAUGCUCAACUUCUUAGCCAUUUCAUGCAAAAUAUCCAACAUGUCUUGGUUAGUAGCACCUAGGAAGCAUGUUUCAAAAGGGGCAUGAAUCCAUAUCUUUUUGGCAGUUUUAUAGUUUAUCAGAGCAUGAGAUGUGCUUCUCAUUCCUUGUUUGCAAAUUUGACAAUUAGGCUCAGGCUACAUCUUCUUUUCCAUAAGUUUUCACUGGUGGGCAGCAGAUUUUGAGUUGCUCUUCAUAUAAAAAUUUUGAUCUAUUCUGCAAUUGAAGGGUCCAUAAAAAGUUCCAGGGAUGAAAAUCUUUGAAUGAGCAGCUUGGCUUAUUAGGAUACUUAAUCUAGAAAGCCAGCUGAUGUCCACUCUUCACGGAAUAUAAUCCUUUUUUAUCAAAAUACCAAAUUACUUCAUCCAUUCUAGGACUUCUAGGUAGUGGAAUUCUCAAAAUCUCAUUUGCAUCAUCUUUCAUAAACCAUUGCUUCACCUUCCUUUGAUCCCACUGAUUUUCAAGAUUAAUGAGCUCUAGAUAGCAAAUGUUGGGAAAAUAUGCUCUUUAAAAGCAUAUGUGUUUAUUUAAUUGUAAUAAACAAUUUUUCUGAUUAAUAAAAUAAAUGAGGUAUUUUAUUCAAAUAUCUUAAUUGCAUUAAUAUUUGUAUUAAAGUCCAUUUAAUCAUAUUAUAUGUAUUUAUGUGAUCACCAUGUGGAUUCACAGAAGACAUAAAUACAAGUUAUCUUAUGAUUAAAUAAAUUUAGUUCACAGUUGAUAAAUAAAGUUGGGCACUUUAUUUAGGUAUAGACUAUAAUGAAUUCAUUGAAUGAUUUGUCUUAAUCAUGUAUGAAUUUAUUGAUGUAGUACGACUACAUUGAACAGGAUCAAAUAUGAGAUUUAAUUAACUUUGUAAUAACUGGAAAACUUAUUAAAUCUCAUAGGCAUUGAUUUUACUAUAAUCUUAAUCUUGAGUUAAUUAUAAUUUUAUGAUUGUAAUUGUUAUUCCAUUUGAGUUACCAAAGGGCACGACACAUCCUUGUGGUCAAGAUUACCCGGUAUCUUGAUGGGAGCAAUUAUGAGUAUUGGAGUUAUGGAUUAACAAUAAAGAAUUUGUACAACACAUCUCUUGAUAGGUUUUCGGCACUUGAUCAUAGAAUUCUCUGGCCAGAGUGUGUCAACAGAAAAACCAAUUUUAAAAUAUUGAGUGGGAGAGCUGCUGUACGGCCAAGGCGGAUGUACGGUACAGCAGAGUGGAGUAGAUUUGGAAUUAAAUAAUUGGGCUAGUUUAAUUACAGGCCUAAUUAUUGUAGCCACUAUUGUAUGUUCCCAAAUGAUCCCCGGGUUAGCUCAUUUAAUUGAUUGCACCACUGCUGGACUAAUAAGCAAGAUAACUAGCUAUUUGGGUCAAAAGCCUAAAUAUAUCAUUUAGUGGGAGGCUCCAUUUAAUAAGCUUAUGUGUAAGGGGCCUUAUGUUAUUUUACAUGGUGGGUCCCCUAUUAAAUGAAAAGUAACGUGAGUUUUAUUUUGGGGGAAUCCUUGGAGCCUAGGGUUUUCACUAAAGGGAGAUAUAUAAGGCUUAUUUUCCCAAAAAGGAAAAGAAGAAGCCACUUUAUAGACGAAUUCUUAUAUAUUAUAUGAGAGCGAUCUUCAAAAGGUUUUAUAAAAAUUUAAAAACCUGAUUUUUCCCCAACAGCAAAUUCUAUAGAUAGAUUUUAGAUUAAAAGUGGCUUAAAGGAGUGAUUUAAAGAUUGUUAAUACCAUAAACAAAAUUAGUGAUUUAAUUUUUUCUAAUUAAAUAUAAAUUUUGAAUUACCCAUUCGUAAAUUGAGAAUCUUUAAAUCACUUCUUUACUUUUAAAAAUCUCAAGUUACCCUCCAUAAAUUGUUCUCUCUCUUGUAAUUGAAACAGAAAAAAGGAUAAAUGGUAUUUAUACAAUUUCAUAACUAUCAUUAUACAUAAAGCCACAUGGGUAUCUUAUACAUAGAACAUCAAGAUCAUCAUCUAUAUUUUCAUCUAACCCCUAUUUUCUUAUCCAAGUAAAUGUGUGAUGUAGAUGGGGAAAAAAAAUUGUGGUAUAAAAUAAUAAGCUUUACUUUCGCACCAAAGCAAAGCUCAACUUUUCCACUUCCACUCUUAGGACUUAGCUAAGACAGAAAAACAGAGCGCAAUUGAAGACAAUCCAAAACUCGAAGUUGGAAGUAGCAAGAUGACAUCAAUCGACAAUAUGGAGAAUUUGAGUAUGAAAAGUCAACUCCAAUAAUUGAGGUAAGAAAAUAGAAGUUCGAGUAACAUUUUGAUGUUAUUUAUUUAUUUUAGGUGUAUGUUGGUAUGUAUGUAAUUCUUGAGCUUGAAAAUGUCAACUUAAUUGACGGGCAUAAUUUAUAUCAUAUUUAUCACUUUUAAUUUAUAUUUUGGAAUGACAAAAUUAUCCAUGACCUCACUUAAAUAUGCCCGCUACGGGUAAUUUUAUAGGUUUAUAAGCAAGUAUGGUGUUUUAAACUCAAACCCACUGCGUGUUGCAAAUGAGUUUGCCAUUAAGAAAAAAUCUAUCGAAUAGGCACACGGGUAUCCACUUAGGCGCUAACCCACAUUCUUUAUUUUAAUUAUUUAUAUUUUUAUUUUAAUCACUAAAAUUAGAUUAAAAAAUUUAAUCAUAAACAUGUGUAUGUUGAAAUUCCUAAUUCCUAAAUCCACCCUAUCAUAAAAAAAAAAUAAUCAUAAACAUAUGUAAGAUGAAAUUUCUAAUUCCUAAACCCAACUUAUCUCACUACAGCAUGUGUGUGUGAAUUAAAAUAGAUACAAUAAGCUUCUAAUAAGUAGAAAUUUUAUAAUUUUCAAAUUUAAUAUUACUAAUACUUUAUUUUAAUUUGAUUGAUUUUGUUUGUUUUGGUUUUAAUGACUUGUAUCUAAUGAUUUCUUACUAAAGUUGAGUUUUUAUUUAUUUAAUUUGAUAUUAACAGUAGUUGUUUAAAAUUUGCUUGUUGAUAUUGUUGACAAUACUUGUUUAUUGAUUAAAAGAUGAAGUAAAGGCAUUGAUCUUAGUGAUAGUGAUUUUGCCUAUAAUGGAAAUACUUUGUGCUAAACUAAUAUAUUUUUGUAUAUUUGUUUUAUUGUUGAAUUUUUAAUUUCUUAUUUGAUAAAAUCUAGAUUUGAGUAUUGCAUGCGGAUUUUUUAGGCUGUUGUCAUAAUUUAUAGUUUGAAUUAUAUAAUUUAUUUUUUUAUAUAUUAUUAAAAGUAUUUUUUAAUAUUUGUGAUUUUAAAUGAGAAAACAAGCAAAAAACCUGCUGCGACUGCAAAUAGAUUUGAUAAUUGUUAAAACCCGCAAGGACUGAUUUUUUUAAGAAAAUAAAAACCACUAUGGGUUGCAAGCAAAUUUAGUGAUUUAAAUUUUUUGUCGGUGCUUAUAAAAAAAAUAUUUUUUUUUUGUCGGUGCAGAUUUUGUAACGGCAAAUCGGUAGUAGGCAGUAACCAUUGUCAUCCGUACUUAAAUUUGUUAGUUUCUUAUGUUUAAUAAUUAAUAGUUAUUUUAUAAUAUUGCGUAAAUGGAGAAGUGUGAUAAAAUAAUAGAGAAUUAAGGAAUUUGUACCGUAGAACUAAGCUUCAAAAAAUACUUUUUGCACUCUAUAACUAAAAUUCAAUUGUGGUGCAGUGACAAGUAUGUCCAAUCACAUUUAAUUUCUUUGGGUUGAUAUUGACGGAAUUUCAGGUUAAAUAUCAGGAUCAGGCUACGGUACCACAGUGGUACCGUGCCACAUCCUUUUGUCUAUUUUCAUAUAAUCUCUUUCACUCUUUUUUAUUUAAACUUUACUUUACAAAUAUUAAGUUAAUUUCAACUGCAUCCAUGUGAACAUUAAAAUCUAAGUGUUUAAUUGACUGCUGUACCGUACAUCCGCCUUGGCCGUACAGCAGGCAUCCAUGUGAACAUUACCGAAAUACCCAUGCCGACCAACAGUGACCGAAUUUCAACUGACGGCGACGGGAAACUUGAGUUAGACACUUCUGGCCGAGCUGAGUCCAACGGUGGCGGUGGUGACCUCUCAACGGGAAACUCGAGUUCGACACUUUUGGCCGAGCUGAGUCCAACGGUGGCGGUGGUGACCUCUCACGUGUGGUGAUGGCGCCGGAUCGAGCUCCCAAAGCUGUGAAUCCUUCAACGACCGAUCAAUGGUAAAUCGGCUCCCACGGUGGCUGUGAUUGGUCGGAAAAUACAGAGGGAAUCGUGGGGAGCAAAACCCAAGUGAUAGCGUCACCAGAAACCAGAGAAAUCGCGGCGAAUUGAAGCGGCGGUUCCACGGCUUUUCACGGCUUCAAUCGGCAGCUUUCCGAACGCUUUUCGGCGACAAGAUUGGCAUGGAGAUGACCGGCAUCGCACGAUCUUCCAAUCGGUACCAACCUUGGCCGGUGAAGUGGCCGGAAAUGGAAAUAGCAUCCGGGUCGGGUUUGUGGGUUCGGCAUGGGCAUUUCAGUUCACAGAGGGGGUAUUGUGAUAUAAGUGCAAUAUAAAAUAAGAAUUUGUAAAUAAUAAAUAGUAUAAGGUGCUAACUAAAAUGUUCAUAUGGAUGCAGUAGAUGUUAACUUAAUAUUUGUGAAUCAAAGUUUAAAUAAAAACGAGUAAAAGGGGGUUAUAUGAAAAUGUACAACCCUGCAGCCACAAACGACAAAGGAUGUGGCACGGUACCACUGUGGUACCGUAGCCUGAUCCUAAAUAUCAAUGCUUAGUUUUUGUCUAACCUUGUUUUACGAAGUUACCGUUGGCAGUGCUAAAAAUAUAGUGAAAAAUGGAAACACGGUACCAACAAAUAAUUAAAUAUUCCUUCUAAAAUCCUCUCACCCUUAUGGGGAAUUUCGGGAUAAUUUAAUCCAACGAAAUCUUAGUAAAUUAAAUCGAAUGAAACCUAAAUAUGGUAAAAAUCAAGAAAUUGCAUAUAUAUUCAAUUCUUUUACGUAUCUUUUCCCAUUGGAUAUUGCUAAGAGAAUCUCAUUCCAUAAUUUGUAAAUAAACAUAACAAACCCUUGUGAUAAAAGUUUACUACACCGUUUAUUUUAUGAUUUGUUUAGAGGAAAGCUUAUGGUAGAAUUCAUCAAGAGCGAUAGUAAAGAACACUGUUGAAGUUCUUACAUAUGCUAUUUCUUCAUAAACCAUACUUAACCAAUUUUAAUCCCAAUAUUAUCAUUGUUGAAUUUUAAAUAAGCCAAACUUUUUAAUUGAGUGUUGGAACAAUUUGAUAAUUAAGAAUUUACUACACUCAUGGAUUUACAUUAUUUGUGUAUCAUUUUAUUUUUGUUCCAUUGCUUCAACAACCCAUGCAUAUAAAACAGUGGAAUAUUUUCGUAAUUACUUGCUACUUUAAUUCGUAGACAUAUAAAAUGCAAGUUAUCUGGAUAUUAAAUUUUGAUAUAUAGAAUUUUAAAACAAUUUAUCUUCAAUUUUAAGAGCCCCAAGCAUUAUCUGAAUUAUUCAUAUUACACUAGUUAAUUAUCUAGUACAACUAUGAAUUGCACUUUUCGUACGUAAUUAAUACUCAACCCUUUUUUAAUUAAGAUUGUUUAUCUACAUAGUUAAAUUAGUAAAAAUAAUCUAUUAUUAUUUAAUAUACAGAGACUAUUUAGCUGGUUGGUCCACUGAUAAGCAAGAUCCUAAAAUCUCUAUCCUUUAAUGCAUCCCAAAAUAGACAAACUUUAUGAAUUCUCAAAUUGGUAGAUAAGACAUUCAAAAAAGGAACAAAUAUCGCUGUUACCCAAAAUGCGAAAUAUUUUUAAGGUCGCGUAUGCUAAAGUUUAGGGGAUUGAUAACUAUAUAUAAACCCAAAAUCUAAUAAAAUACAAACCCUAGUUGAAAAGUGCAUUGAAGAAUGUUUAUAUUUUUUUUACACAUGAAUUUUUUUUACACAUGAAUUUUUUUUACUUCUCCUAACAAGACACAAUACAUUAAUAGAAGACUUUGAUGAAAGAAACAAUGAGAAAGUGUUCUCAUUGUGGGCACAAUGGCCACAAUUCAAGAACGUGUCACGCAAAGGGUUGUUUUAAACUUUUUGGUGUCAAUAUUUCGGAUCAAAUCCAAGACCUUCCAUCUAUGAAAAAGAGUGUGAAGAAGAGUUAUAGCGUGGGAAAUUUACAGUCUCUUGGUGGGGAGUUUAAUGGUGAUGUUGAUGAAGGGUAUCUCUCUGAUGGGCCAAUUCAUACCAAACAUGAAAGGAAAAGGGGUACGUGGAAAAUUUAUUUAUCUAAUUUUGUAUUGCCCAUUUUCAUUUAGCUGAUUUUAAUUGGAUCAAAACUGUGACUCGUUUGAGCCACGAUCGUUGUUUGGGCAAACUUUGUUAUCAAACUAUUACUUCUUUACUUUCACAAAGAAAAAUUAUUAAUUAGUUCCCUUUUUCAUGCAUUUAAAUUUUGUUAGUAGAUUUAUUGCCAACUAUAUUUUUUUGUUUUGUUUUGUUGAAGUCUUGUUUGUUUAGCAGGUGGCUAUUUAAUUUAUUAAUAAAUAUGUUUAUGUUGAUGUAUAAGUUAAUGUUUAUAUAAUGUAUUCUAUUGAAUAUUUUCAUCAUUGGUGCGUACUUAAUUAUUGAAUUUAUUGUAAAGGGUAUAUGCUAAUCAAGCCCUUCGAGGUUUCUAGCUAAUUCCAAAUUGGCACACAGUAACCAUGGCACUUUGGAGCUAAAUUUUGAUAGCAAAUUUUUACAGGUCUUACAACAAGUCAAUAUCUUGGUCCCAUGUAUGAAUCUAUUUUAUAAAAAAUAUUAAACAAAUUGUGGGCAUAUUUUCUAAAAGUACAAUGUCACUGGUUGUAUAAUCUCCAAUGUGCCUUGAUGUAACUUUUGUGUUUAUUUAGGCAAGCCAUGGACAGAAGCUGAACAUAGAGUAUUUUUAGAGGGUUUAAAGUUGCUUGGAAAAGGUGAUUGGAAAGGAAUUUCAAAGAAUUUUGUGACGACAAGGACCCCGACGCAAGUUGCUAGCCAUGCACAAAAGUAUUUUCUUAGACAAGCCUCAAGCGAUAAGAAAAAUCGUAGAACGAGUCUCUUUGACAUGCCCUUGAAAGAAUCAGUAUAUCUCUCUUGCUCUGUCUCAAUUAACAAAUGGUUAACUAACAAGCUUGAUUUGAUGGGUUUACGUACACUGCAGGCUCCUUCUCAUCCUUCACUCAUCUUAGUGAAAGCUCCUCCAGCAACUGCAUCUUCUUCACAAGUAAGCUUAAAUCUGUUUUUUUUUUUUUUCAUUUGAUUUAAUUCACUAUUUUGGUAAUUAAGCUUAAUUACUUUCAUUAGUAAGUGUCCCCUCUCUCGAUUGCCACCAACACAGGUAAUUAGAUUUCUUAUAUAUACAUAUAGAAUAUAUCAAUUUAUAAUAAUAUUGGUCAUUUAAUUAAAUCUGAUAUAUAGGGUAGUACCUCAAGUCAGGCUAUGAAUGGCUUUCCAAAUCUUUGCUCGGAUCUUGUUGUUCCAGUGCCUGCGACUACUGGCCUUGCCUACUAUCAUCAUGGGAUCCCAUAUAUGGUAAGAAUCAAUUUGAUUUAAUUAACCAUCUUAUAUUUCCUUUCCCAUUUUUUCCCUUUUUGUUGUCUUCUGCACUAGUUUCUCCUAAGAAAUUGCUUGUUCGUUUUAUUUUCCAUUUUGUUUGUAGAACUACUUCGACAUAUAAUAGCUUGACUAUUUUAUCUUUUAACAUUUAUAUUGUUACUCAAUAAUCACUAUUCGCAACUCCUAAAAAGACCAAUAUGUACGUGAAUCUAAAUCUUUAUUGUUAAUAUUAGAAUUGUAACUGAUGGGUCAUCGGCUAAUGGUUAUACGAAAAUAAGUGUAUAAAUCUUGUGAUGCUUUCAACGAACUAAUCCUUUUAUGCCACGUUAGCUAUCAUCUCAUCAAAUUGUGCAGGAAAUUUUUUAUAACAUGCAGUUUGUAGAUGCAUAAUUGAUGUUUUCAUUAAAAUGCGGGAUCACUUGUUUUUAAAAUGUCUUGCCUCUACAGUACCCAGUCCCUUGCAAUGGUCCGAGUAAUAUUGUUAAUUCAUCUCAAUCAUUCAUUUCUGAUCAGAGGCCAAAUUAUUACGCCUGCAUGCCAAUGCCGGCAGGAAUGCAUAAAAGUUUAACUCGUGCACCACAGUCAUCUCAGCGCAGCGUGAGGACUACUCAAGAAUGCCCAAAACUCUCAAUGGAAAGAGAUUUUUUGGAUCUUAAAAUUGGACUCCCUCGAUCUCCAAAAACAGCCAGAUUCAUCAUCUAAGAGCUUCGGAAUAUAUAUAUAGUCAUAGUAUGAAAUUUUUGUUUUUUUUUUCUUUUUCAAAUAUGGUUGAAUUUUGUACUUUAUUAAUAAAGUUGAGAUUAUAAUUUCUUUUGGCAGUAGAUUUUCAAAAAUACUAAUCUCACAUUCUCAUGAUCACCUCAUUUUUAACCUCCAUUUCCUAAUAAAUUUAUCAACGAUCAAAUAAAGAAUCCCAUUAAAGGAAUGCUUUUAUUUAGCCGCGUACAACAUACUUGCUUUUGUAUAAUUUUAAUGGAUUAAAAUUAUAUUUGUAUAUAUGUAAAUUUUAGUUUGGAUUAAAAUUUUAAAAACAAUAUUGCUAUUAGAUAUUUAAAAUUUUAAAAACUUAUCUGCGAUCCACCUAAGGUUUGUUAAGUGUAUUGCCAAAUAAUCAUUUUUCCAUUUUACCCCUUAUAUUUACAGAAUACUUUGACACAAUUUUUCAACCUCUUUACACAAUGCAUGACAUAAUUUUUCAACCUUAAAUUCCAUAAAAAACAGUCAGGUCUCAUAGAGAUUUAUAUAUAUUUUAAAUGUUGAAAAAUUGUGUCAUAAAAUUAAGGGGCAUGAAUCCAUCCUCAUCUAUUUUACUUCAAGGUUAGCCAAACCUAUUUUAUUUGUCCAAAAACUUAUAUUUGACCAUUUAUUAAUCUUAUUUAAUUUCUCACUGCAGAGAGUAUUAGUGCAUGACAACUUCGUCAUAUGUGCUAUUGCUUUGGAUAUUUGGUCAUUGACUGUAUGUUACCUGUCAAUGCUUAUAUUUUUGAGAGCUUCAAUUUUUUCGAAGAGUAACAAUAAAUAUCUUAAAAUUUUAUUCUAAAUUAAAUAUCAAUAAUGUGAAAUUUGAUGCAUCAUUCCAUGAGUGAUUAAUAUUUUUUGACAAUUUAAGAAAAAUCAAUAAAAUACACUAACAUAAGAGAAGAGAAGUGUCGGCCGUACACCAAAUUCUGUAUCUGAAGCUUCUUUACGAGUUCUGUAAAGUUGAUAAUGGUUUGUAAUAAAAGCCAUGUACGUAGCAGUCGAUUAUACCGUUACGUUGAGCAUUAAUUAGUUCCUUUCUUGAAAGAAGAAGGAAAAUUUGGAAGGUUUAUUUUGUCUUAAUAAUAAUUAUUUCUUCCUUUUCCUAUUUGAUAAAGGGAUCGAUGUUAAGAUCACAAUCUAUGAGAUAGUUUAUUGUUAUUAUUAAUUAUUUAUUUUUAGUUCACUACUUCUUUCCAUUUUAACUUGUAGCUAGUACCCUUGCGGGUUCCAAAAGUAUUAAUGGAUCUAACUUGUAAUGGUUGUUUUAGAUAUCCGUAUUAUAUGCGUAUCAAUAAGAGAUCUCCAAAAACAUCCAAUAAUGUUAUAUUUUGCACUUGCAUAACAGGAAUCGAAAAUCCUAUAUAAUAAGCCCAAGAAAGCUUUUGCUAUUGCUGUUGUUAAUGCAUUAUUUUCUCUUCUUCAUAAGUAUCACAGCACACUACUCAACUCAUCAUCCUAUCGAAAAUAUGUGUAGGAGCAAGGGUUGUGUUAAACUUUUUGGUGUGAAUAUUUUGGAGCAAAAGCAAGAUCAUGAAUCCAACAGAAGCAGUAGUGUUACUAGCUUCGCAAAUUUGCAUUAUCUUGAAGAACCCAAUGUGCAAGUUAAUGCGGAGUCUCUCUGUGAAGGCCAGCAGCUUAACUUUAAGAGACGCAAAGUUGUGCGUGAAAAACGUAAAAGUAUGCUAGCGAUCUUGUUCUUUUAUUGUGUUUUAUUUAUCUAUUUGUAUUUUUUAUUUUGAUUAGUCUGAACUAAUAUAUAAUUUAUAUGCAUAUUUUUUUAAUCGUUGCUAUUCCAUAUAUAAUUUUUGUUAAUUGGUUGAAUCAAUAUAUAUACGUAUAUGUACAAAUUUUCGCACUGAUUUGCUAAUUAAUAAGAGUAUCAACUUUUACCUAUCGAUAGUUUUCCAGCUUAAUUAAUAUUUUUGGGAUUUUUUUUUUAAUUUCUGAAUCUCAUUUAUUUUGCAAUCCACUCUUUGAUCAUGUGGUAGACUCUUUCUCACCUCAUUAAUGGUUUGAACAUCCAUGUGUAUUUCGUGGGACUAUGAGAAUAUAUUUUCUCUAUUUUCAUGAGUGAAUCAACAAUGUAUUGGUCAAUUAAGUCUUGGUGACAAGCUAAUUCCAAAUUGGCCAUAAACAGUAAAAUGGCACAUAUACAAUGGGCUAAGCGUAUCAUCUUGAUUUGUAUCGUUUGUGUUUAAUUAUAUAGGGAAGCAGCCAUGGACCGAGGAUGAGCAUCAAAAAUUUUUAAUGGGACUGAAGUGGCUUGGAAAAGGUGAUUGGAAAGGAAUUUCAAAGAAUUUUGUGACGACAAGAACCCAAACCCAAAUUGCUAGCCAUGCACAAAAGUACUUUAAUAGACAAGCCUCAUCAAGUGAUAAUAAAAAUCGAAGGACAAGCCUAUUUGACAUGCCCUUGAAAGAAGCUGUAAGUAUUCUUUCCGACUCUUAAUUUCUUAAUCAUACCUUCUUCUUAUUAAUUAAAAUGAGUUGAUGGGUUUAAAUUUCACAGGCUCCAUCUCAUCCUCAAGAUCACGAUUCCCUUGCCUCAGUUAAAAGUAUUCCUACUUCAACUUCAUCACAAGUAAGUAUAGUAUAAUCAUUUUCUUGUUUUCCUAGGAUUCCACAGUCAAUUUAUAUUUUUACCACUUCUCCAAUUUUUUUUUUAAGUUUUUGUUUUUAAUCUUUGAAUUGUUAGUGUCAUUCUAAUAAUGAUUUGAUUAAUCAAUAAAAGUUUUCAAAACAAAGUGGACAGUCAGUCUUUGGGAAAGCACUUGGUCUUUUAGUCUGAACUAAUAGAACUAAUUCAUGUAGUUUUUAUAUUUUUAAAAACUAUUUAAAAUAUGUAUGAUAUUAUUUUCAUAGUUAUGUUGUUAGAUCUUAUUAACUUUUCAAGAGUAUAAUAAUUUCAUUUUAUAUGACAAGCAACGUGAAAAUUAAAUGAUAAGUAAGUAGAAUUUAACGAAAACAUAUUUUGAAUUUCUCUUGCACUAAUAAUCGUUUAAUUAAAAUGAAAGCAGCAUCACUUAUUUUGAAUUUCUCUUGCUUAAUACAGUACCAAAUCCAUUGCCCCGCAGGAAUCUGCGAAAAUUUUAGUCCUUGUGCCCCUCAAUUGUUCCAACGCAGUAUCUCGAGAGAAACAGAUAUUUUGGAGCUUAAAAUCGGACCCCCUUGAUCUCCAGAAAUAAAUUCAUCAUCAUCUCAGAUCUUUGGAGUCGCCGUAGUAUGAAAAUUUUUGUUUUUUAUUCAUCAAAAAAAGAAAAAAAUAGCUUCUUCAAACAAAAUUUUGGUUCUACUUAAGUAGAAUAAUAAGAUAACCAUCUGACUCCAUUUUUUGAGAUUCACGCGAUGAUAAGAUCGGUAUAAGCUCAAAAUAAUAAAUAAAUAAAUAAAUGCGACAGCUAUAUAUCAAUAAAAACGUAAAAAUUUCAUGUACUAAAAAUUCCUUAAGUCGUGAACACUCGUGAAUUCAUUAUUAGCAGCCUAUACUAUUGUUUGAUUAAACAAACAUGUAAUGGCAGCUUUGAUACAAUAUUAGUUUCACUUUUUCUUUUUAUAAGAACGACAUGCGUACGUAGUAAACACAAAGCAGACGACAUAACCCUCAAAUUCAUUAGAAUUUUCAUGAGUUAAAUGAAAACUCCAAGUUACAAUCUAUUUGAGACUCUGAUGUUUAAGUUACAUUACAAAAUAUAAAAGAGAAUAGGGAUCGAAAAGUGAAAAUUAAUUCACUUUAAUUCCACUGUACCUUUGAUCAUUUCUCACUAAGCGUCUCGAAUGGAACAUGAGAACCUAUUAAUGAAGGUACAAUUUAAAGAAGUCUAAAUUGUAAUAAAAUUGAAAUUACUAUCUCAAAAUAAAGAAAGUUUAAAGACUUUAUAAAUUAUUAGAUGUUUGUGUGUACAAUUGUAAACUUAUAAACUAAAGUAAUUAGUUUGUUUGACAAGAAUAAGUGCAAAUUAAAGCCGUCAAGGCCAAGUAGUUAUUUCCUCGAGAUUUACAUAUAACAUCCAAAUGGUAAAAUUUUAUUGGUGACACAACAGUUGAGAUAAUAAGUAUAGCAUUAUUUAGCAACGAAAUUCAAUAACUAGUCCAUAUAGUUUUGUUUUGAUUGUCAAAUCAUUAAAAGCAUUUCUGUCAAAAUUCUUGACCACAUAAAAAUAAAUAAUCUAGUAGGAAUAUAAAAAUAGGUUUGUGAUUGAAAAUUAAAUAUCAAAACAUUAAGAAGAUAAUAAAUUAAUAAUCCUAUUCUAUUUAGAUUUGGACCAAAAUAAGUAAACAAGUUCAAAUUGUAAUAAAAUUGAAAUAACUAAUAAUUCAAGUCAGUUUUACUUGUUGGACAAGAAUAAGUAAGAUCUGAUAACCUAAAUAUGAUCAUAACGUUCCGAAAUUUAAUUAUGCUUUGUCUGGCACAUUUCUGUUAGUAGAAGCACAAUCAUUACUUAAGCAAUAUGUUUCAUUUAAAACAAAGUAUUGAACUGAACUUGAUUAAGCCAACUCCAGUUUUGUUUUCAAUUAACACAGCUUAACCUUAUAGAUUAUAACUUAAUAGAUCAUUCUUAUUUGAAAUUUCAGCAUCUGAAUCUAAAGCAAUAAGAUAUUGGUACAAACAGAGCAGCCAAUACAAUGUAGGGAAGGCAAUGACUUCAAACACAAGCAAGAGUCUCAAUAUAUUGAAAACCAUAAAAGAAUUUCAAUGAACCCUCAAAAUGAGGGUUUGCAAUAUCUGCUCAACCUGGAUCAAAUUCGCAGAUCUUUUCAAAAGUCUUAUCCUUAAGGUUGUAGCGUAUGGCCUUACCAGGAAUGUGCAGCACUAUACAUGACUCUGCAUCAUUUACUUCCCGGAUAACACCAAGCAUGGAAAAUGCAUAGUAGUUUAAGUCUAAUACAUCAAGAUAAUCUCUAAUCAUCUCCGGAAAUGCCAUCGUUAUUGCAUUGAGAUCAAUGCGAUGCUUCACAAACCAGCAAGAAUAUCUCUUUCCAUCUCGUAUACAUCAAACUUUGUGGUGCAAGGGCCAUAUAUCUCAACAAGAUGCAAGUGCUCUCAGGACUCCCCAAAAUACAUAAACCUCCUCCUAUCUUCCCAAUCCUCAGGAUAUGUUGGACUUGGAGGCAUUGACAUCUCUCGUAGUUGCUCCUCCUCGACUUUGAAAUGCAAUGAAGUAUAAUGACAAUCAAUCCAAUGAGUAUUACCAUUCCAGAAUACCCCGUUGAAUUGUGUAUUAACAGGUGCCAUGAAAGGAUCACCAGAGAGCCUCCAUGACCGCGUCUCAGAUGAGUAUAUUUCAAUCUGAUAGCUUAUAUAAGGACCUUCUUCAACACUUACAUAUGAAUCUGGUGACCGCACACAUGCAACUUUAUAAUGGGGCGACCUGACAGGAUCAUAAGCUGAAGUUACACCUGUUGAGAAUGUAAAAUAAAACGGCAUUGAAGGAAGUUUUUCAAAGACAUAAUCCGCACUUGUCAAAGAGAUAAUCUGCACUUGUCAAAGACACGAUCCGCACCGAACGGAUUGACACAUUUCCUUCCGUAUUCACAUAUGUAAUCUUUGAAAAAAUGUAGCAUCUGCAUCUAUAAAUAACUCUCAGUGUAUAAUGUUUCAUUUAAGAAAUGAAAACAAGUUUCUUCAUGGUAUCAGAGCCAUGAAUACGCUCAAGUUUCUUCAAGUGUCGUUGCUCUGUUUGUAACAAAAACAGAGGAAACCAAAUUCUUCUAACAACCAUUUUUCCCACCAUUUUCUUCCUUAAAACCAUUCAUACAAUUACAGAAAUCCAUGCCAAUCAAAAAACAAGCCACCCAUACGUAAAAAACUUGAGUUUACAAAUUUAUCAACAGUCUCAUAAAUUUUCCAAGAGUGUGUUCCUCAAAAACCAAGAAUACCAUCAAAUUUCUCAGUUUCCAGUAAGCAAACUGUAAAAGUUUCUCAUUUAAAUACAUUCCCACGCACUUCCACGCGCCACCCGAAACCACAGCCAGUCAACCACGUGCCUCUGUCAUAUUUCACGCGCUCUCACGCGCUACAUAGGUUGAAGAAGACUUCAACCGACAUGUCUUUUUUUAUCUCUAGAGUGCAGCAGUCAUAAAACGACGUGUCAUUUUUUAUUACAUUAAAACCGACAUGUCGUUUGUAAAGUAGAGACAAAACGACGUGACGUUUAAUCUCCAGAAGUGCAGCAGUCCUAAAACGACAUGUCGUUUCUAUUCCAUCAGAACCGACAUAUCGUUUCGUCAAGCAGAGGCCAAACGACUUGUCUUUUUUUUUUUUUUAUCUAAAAAGGUUAUUUUUUUCUUAUUUCAAUCUAGACACCAAAAAAAAAAAAAAACAAAAACAAAACAAAAAAAAAAGAAAAAAGAAAAAGGAAAAAAAAAACAAAAAAUGGAGAAAACUCCAACUGGAUCUGCUCCUGUUGUCAUUCAAUCUGUUCAAUCUGAUGGAGUACUUAAUGCUGGAAUUAUCCUCACUGAGACAAACUACGAUGUUUGGUCUCAAAUAAUGGAGAUGCAUCUUGCAGAAAGAGAAAAACUCUCAUAUAUUCGUAACAACACAAAUUCAUCUGAGGAAUCUUCAAAGGAAUAUGAGAAAUGGUAUAGUGAGAACCAAAAAGUGAAAUAUUUCGAGAACUUGAUCACCGAGAUAAAGUGGUCAUGAAGGAUCCAGAAGAUGUUGUAAUAUACAGAAGGUCUGUUGAAAGAUUGAGAGUGCACAUUUUUCUUGCUGGGCUAGAUGAAGAAUUUGACCAAGUUCGUGGAGAAAUUCUAUGAAAACAUAUUAUCCCAGACUUAGAAGAAUAUUAUUCUCUGAUCCGAAGAGAAGAUGUACGGCAAAGCAAACUAAACAAGAAGGUCGACUCAGAAACAUCUGCUAUGAUAGCACGACAGCAGCCUCAAAGGAAGUUUGUUGACAAGUCAUCACUCCAUUGCACUCAUUGUAGAAAGAAGGGUCAUACGAAAGAACAAUGUUUUGAAAUCAUUGGAUAUCCUGACUGGUGGGAUACUCGAAAAAAGAACACCAAGCAUGGAUUAAAAACUGCAGUAGCUGAAUCCACAUCCACUACAAAUCUUAAAAAGAAUCUUCAGUGCAAAUCGCAACCUCUGUCAGUCCAGGUAAGGCCCUUAAAACUCUUACACCUGUUAUUAAUAGUACAUGGAUAAUUGAUUCUGGGGCAACUGAUCAUAUGACUUUUGAUUCUCGACAAGUUUCUCAAUUGAAACCAUCUUCACAAAAACAUAUUUCCACUGCAAAUGGAACCACAACCUCAGUUAUUGGGGAAGGAUCUUUACGACUCACAGAUAAAUUAAAUUUAGACCUGUGUUAAUUGUUCCAUCUUUAGAUUAUAAUCUUUUAUCUGUGUCUCAAUUAACCACUUACUUAUCAUGUGUUAUAAUUUUUUGGCCUGAUCAUUGUGUGUUUAAAGACAUCCAAACGAAGCAAACAAUUAGUUAUGGUAUUAGACGAGGUAACUUAUACUACUUGGAGAUGUCAUCAACAAACACUGGAAAGCUAAGCCCCGCACUAGUCGCAGAUAGUUCCAUAAAAAAAGGAAAAUCAGAAAUUUGGUUAUGGCAUAGACGUUUAGGGCAUGUGUCAUUUGGUUACUUAAAAAAAAUUAUUUCCUAGUUUGUUUCUGAAAUUUGAUGUUUGUAACUUUAAAUGUGAUGUUUGUGAACUUUCAAAAAGCCAUCGAACUAUUUUUCCAUUGUCUUUAAAUAAGAAUCCAGUUUCUUUCAUGGUAGUACAUUCUGAUGUAUGGGGGCCAUCUAAAUGUGAUGUUGAGAAUGUCGAAUAAAACAGCAUUGAAGGAAGUUUUUCAAAGACAUAAUCUGCACUUGUCAAAGGGAUAAUCUGCACUUGUCAAAGACACGAUCCGCGCCGAACGGAUUGACACAUUUCCUUUCGUAUUCACAUAUGUAAUCUUUGAAAAAAUGUAGCCUCUGCAUCUAUAAAUAACUCUCAGUAUAUAAUGUUUUUUUUAAGAAAUGAAAACAAGUUUCUUCAACACCAUGGAUAAUUCUGCCACUAGGUGGAGGAAGUAUAACAAAUUGCUUUGUAGUAGGAUCGCAAAUGUAACAGUCAUGUUCCAAAUGUCUAUCACAGAAGCUGGAACAACAUAGUGACCCAUGACAAGAAUUCUAAAUACGUAAACCUGAAGGAUGUUUCAAAAAGUUAAGGCAUUUAAAGGGAGCAGUAAUUGGCUUGUUUGUAAGAGGAACAAAAUCGUGUUCUGGGUUGAUGAGACAAGAACUUCUAUGCAAGAUGAGGCCUGAAACUAAAUAGCUGUCGGGGUAAAGGUGGCCAGAGAAUUGAGGACUGGAAAUGAGGGGAGAGCUAGUGUUUUGAAACACAUUUGAAUCUGAAAAUAGAUUUUGUGGGUAAACAAACAAUGAUUUCUAUUAAGAGAUCAUCAUUAUUUGCAAUGACAAAUGACGAUAACUUCCUUUUGCCAAAAGACAUAUUUAAAGCUUCUCAUGGCAUCAUGAUCUAUCUCUCUUUUAUUCUUAUAUACUCUUAAUAUGUGAACAAUGUGACUAUGCUUAGAUUGCUCAGUACGUUAUAUUGUUCUUAUAAUUGAUAACAAGCAAUCGACAACAUUUGGUAGGUGCAGAUUGUCACACCCAAAAAGGAAAAAUGUUUGAUAACUCAAAAGAAAUGGUUAGUUAGUAUAAGCAAGUGUUAAAAUAUUUCCCCUUCACCAAUUAUUACAAGUUUUAGAUGUUUAAACGGUGUUGUAUAUUUUGCACUAUGACAAGCAAGGAAAAUAUUAUGUGAAAAGUGGAUACCAAAUAGCCCAGAAAUUAAGUUUUCCAUCUCCUCCUAGUGGUUCAAGGACUACAUUAGAGGUGUAGAAAACUUUGUGGUCUCUCACUUUACCAGCUAAGGUAAGGAACUUUAUGUGCAGGGCUGUCCAAAUGUGCUUCCUACAGCAGAAAAUCUGUGGUAUAAGAAGAUUAUUCAUGAUCCCAUUUGUCAAGUGUGCAAAAGACAGGCUGAAAGUAUUUUACAUGCUCUGUUAAAAUGCAAGGUGGUCAGGAAAGUAUGGAAAUUGGCUCAUUUUGCUGGAAAAAUUUGAACUUGGUGGAGCAACCAAUGAUGUGUGUGAUGCAAGACAUGGUCGAGAGUUUAAAAAGAACAGAGAUGGCGCUAUUAAUUGCAAUUUUGCUGGGCUGCUUGGCAUGCCAGAAACGUAUUCAUUUUUUAGGCAAAACAGGUGGAUCCCUUGAUUACUGUAGCGAAGGCAAAAGCCAUUAUAGAGUCUUACAGGAGGUUUAAGAUCCCAAGCUCAAACCAUUUAGUGAAUAGGGAAGAUUCAAGUCAACCAAAUUGGUGCCCUCCACCAAAAGGUUUUGUAAAGAUAAAUGUGGAUGCAGCAACUAAUGUUGAAAAACAGGCUGCUGGUUUAGGAGUUGUGGUGAGAGAUUGUAAUGGAAGCUUUGUAGCAGCUGCAGUGAAGAAGGUCCAAUUCUUUGGGGAUGUUCAGCAAGCUGAAGCAGAAGCUAUUGCCUGGGAAUGCAAGUGGCUAAGGAGACUGGCACAUCAUCAGUAAUUAUAAAUACUGAUUCUGAAGGGGUAGCUGACUUAGUAAACAAGAAGAAGGACAGCAGAACUCCUAUUUUCUGGGUUAUAUCUGAGAUUCAAGAACUUAUUAAUGAGUUCAUUGAGUGUAAAGUUAAAUUUGCUCCCAGGCCUUGUAAUGUAAAGGCUCAUCAAUUAGCCAAACUUGCCUUGGAGUAUAAGGAGUCUGCAAUCUGGCUGGAUUUGUUCCCAGCAAAUGUAAUGUAUAUUCUUCAAGUUUUGAGUUAAUGAAGGUUAUAAUUCCGUUAAAAAAAAAAACGGUGUUGUAUAUUCCUUGAAUUGACUUUGAUAGUUUAUUCAUUACAACUUACAAACUUGAUGCUAUGAAUCACCGUUUUUAGUAAUCUAAAUGAUUAAAAAAAUAUCAACUCCGAUCAAAAUCAUCCCAAAGACUUUAUUAAAUUAUGAGGUCGUCCAAUGAGGUAAUUGGGUUGCCUUAGCUUAAUAAUUUUUUAUUAGAGGAAAAAAUGUGCUAAGAUGCUCGGGAUCCUACAAGGAGUUUUUCUUAAUAAUCUGAAAGAGGAUAAGAGAGUUUGGAAUUUAGAUAAAUCAUGAUGUUUCUCUACGAAAUCUUACUUUCUUAGCCUCAUAGAUAAACACGAUGGCCUCUCAUUUUCUCAUUUUCUCCUUCUUACCAAUAAACACGAUGGCCUCUCAUUUUCUCCUUCUUACCAGAUUUGGAAAGCUAAAGUCCCUACCAAGGUGAAGAUGAUGGUUUGGUCUGUUGCUCAUAGAAAAAUCAACACAAAUAACAUAGUUCAAAGAAGGAGACCUAAUAUGGCUUUAUUUCCAGAUUGGUGUGUCGUUUGUAAAAACACUUGAGAGAAUGUUGAUCGUCUUUUCUACAUUGUACUGCUGCUUACAUUUUGUGGUCUAACUUGUAUAAGAUCUUUAAUCUAAGCUGGUCAGCCCCUAUAUCAUGUUACUCCCUCCGAUUGGAAAGUUUUUCUUGCUUAAAAAGGACAAAAAAAGCAAGGAUUUUAUGGGACUGUGCAGUCUUGGCUAUUUUUUGGAUUGUGUGGAAUGAAAGAAACCAAAGAAUCUUUUAUAACAAAACUGGAGAAGAUCCUUCACACCUAUGGGACAAAGUGAAGUUUUGGAUUUCCCUCUGGACAUCUAUAACUACUGAAUUCAAAUACAUUUCUUUCUUUUUUAUUUUGCUUAAUUAGCAAGCUUUUGUUAGAUGCACUCUUAGUGAGCUAGUGUUUUUGAGUUUUGGAAUAUUUUUGUCUUUGCAAUUUCUAAGUGUUUUGUUUAUUUUGGGACUUCUCAUCCUUAUUUUGUGGAUUUGUAGUCCUCCUAAUCCUUGUACAUAUUUCUUAUAGUUUGAUUUAAUCUUUUGUUUCUUAGAAAAAAAAAAAAACAUUCACACAUUUGGUAUAAAAUUCAACAAGCAAAAUGAAAGCAUUACUUGAAGCAAUUACUCAUUCCAUUCGUUAAUACCAUGCACACCAUGAAAAUUGCUUCAAAAUGUACUCAAAACAAUGAAUUUCAAAUGCCAAAUAAGCUAAUUGAAGAGUCCAACAGGUACAUCUGGCCAUUUCAAAUAAGAAAUUUAACCCCACGACUAGAACAGAAAAGAGACUGCUGGCUUACAUUUCAUAUCAAUUUAAAAAAUUAUCUUCAACUAAAAAGCAAGCAAAAUCUUAUCUCUCUCUCUCACAUCAAACAAAAAUAGUAGCUUUUUUUUAACUUCAUAGAUCAAUCAUACUUGAAACUUAUGUUGCAAUAGCUCAAUUAAUGUUUAGGAGCCCAUAUCAUCCAAAAGGGGCAAGAAUCUCAAUAUAAUGAUAAGCAUGAGACCACUCAAAUUUUAGUUGAGAGCCAUUAAUAACUUCAUGACCUGGAUCAAAAUCACAGAUCUUGGUGAAAGUCUUGUCAUUAAGGUUGUAGCGUAUUGCCUUACCACGUAUGUGCAGCACCAUAUAUGACUGUUCAUCGUUUGCUUCUCGAAUAAUACCAAGUAUGGAAUAUUCAUGAUAAGCGGAAGGUUGUUGAAAAUCAUCCAGACUUGCAUCAAUCUCUGGAAAUGCAUUUAUUAAAGCGUCAAGAUUGACAUGAUACUUGACAAACCAACCUGAAUAGUCUCUUUUCAUCUCAUAGACAUUAAACUUUUUUCUACAACGAUCAUUAUUUACAACAAUAUGUAAAUGCUCCUGAGACUCUCCAAAACAGACAACGCUUCUACCUAAUGCUUCUGCUACCAUCAUUCCUAAUCUUUCUAUCAAGUUUGAAGGAACUUGAAAUGGAGGCAUUGGCAUUUCUUGGAGCUGCUCCUCGUCAACUUUGAAACACAAGCACGAAUAAAAAGGAUCAAUCCAAUGGAGAGCACCAUUCCAAAAUACUCCAACUUUGUGCUUCAAAUUAUAUAGCAAAACAAAAGGAAGACCAGAGAGCCUCCAAGAGCCUGUCUGAGAUGAGUAAACCUCAAUCUGAUAACUUACGCCAGCAUUCCCAUUCUCUUCCAAUGGAUCAGAACAGAUGCAGACAAUUUUAAAGUGGGAAGAUUUGGCAGGAUCAUAAGCUAAGCCAAUUCUAUGGAUAACUCUUGACAUUUCAUCUACAAAAGGAGGAAGUCAAACAAGCUGAUGGGACGUAGGAUUGUAAAUGUGAUAAUCACACGGUAAAUUACUAUUGCUUGUAGAGCUUGAACAAAAGAGUAGGCCAUUACAAGAUUGCAAGAUACUUAACCCCAAGGGGUGGUUCGCAACAGUGAGAGACCUAAAUGGAGCGCUUAUUAACUUGGCACCAAGAGGAAGGAAAUCAUAUUCUGGAAUACUGAGACGGCCAUAAGUUCUGUGCAGGAUAAGACCUGAGACAAGGUGGGUGUCAGGGUAAAGACGGCGGGUGAAGCAAGGACUGGAAAUUAAAGACUGCCAGUGUUUAGAUACACAUUUGAAUUUCAUAAGAGAUUUUACGGGUGAGCGAACUAAAAUUUCUGUUAAGAGAUCUACAUUAUUAGCUAUGGCCUCAGAGGGAGACAUAGUUGGGAAUUUUGAAUUAGACAUCGUAGUUGAAAAUUUUGAAGCGACACUAACGAUAGGAACAGUAGACAAUCCUAAUGGUGCAAUGAAAAGGAACUAUUAGACUAAAUCUCAUGAACAAGAUAAGAGUUUCUACACAGUAAAUUAAGUAAAGAAAUUUAACCUAAAUGAAAAUGAGUGCCGUUACCCAAGUGCAAGUUACAUUUCUGACUCCACUCCACAAAUCCACGCAGCAACAACAGCUAACUCAAAAACCCCAUUUCGCUAUCCCAUCAUCAAAUUGAAAAUUGAAACCCUAAAGUCCCAAAGAUACCACGCUCGCCCACUGUUUCUUCUUUGUUUUCCAAAUUCUGCUUACCAACUUUCACACCAGCUUCUGCAUUUAACAAUUCACACGGCCUCUGCCUCGUCAAUUUUUUCGAAGUGUUUUUUUUUUAAAAAAAAAAAACAAUUAGACCGGCAAUUCAUUAAACACAAUUGAAAUUCAUCGUCAAGCGUCACAUCGCCGGCGGCUGCAAAUGACAGACCAAUCACAAAUAAGCAAAUGAGAGUUGCCAUGCGACGCGCCAUCGCCAUCUCAGAAAAAAAAAAUCUAAGUGUUUAAUUGAAUUUUCAUUUAAAACAAGAAAUUAAUUAAUUUGUAUUAGGUUAUUAAAGUAAUUUCAGUUAAAAAAAAUAAAAGGAAUUUUGAAGGGUAUCAAAAGGCCAACUCUUGCAGAUAAUAUAAAUGGCAAAACGAAAGGAACAGCACAUGGUCUCCAAAAGCCUUACGGAAAUUAAGAGAAGUAGAGAACCUCAAGUUUGAAGCCUCCAUUGACUACUCUUUCUUCAUUUUCUUACUUCGCCUUAAAAAGGUGGUCGCAUUUUUAAGUUUAUAAAGUAAUGCUUUGAUCUUCUAAAAUCUGUGUUAAUUACAAUUGAGUCGUGUAAAAUUCUUGAUACAUUAAUAGUUUCUCUUGUUCACAACUAAGCAAACAACAAGGUGAAAUGGAGAGUGUGUUUAACAUUUUGGUGUCGAAUUUUUGGAGCAAAAGCAAGAUCAUGAAUCCAACAAAAGGAGCAACAGUUUCAAAUGCCGCAAAGUCGGUGCAUGAAAGUAAAAUAAAAUACACAUACACCGCUCAGUAAUUUGAUUUUCAAACAAUUUUCUUUGACUAAUCUUAUCUUCUAGUUAUUUUGAUCGUUAUGAAACUUUCUUUAACCGGUUACCCAAGUUCAAAUUUCGUGGUUAAGGGGCUAAAACCUUGGAAAUUUUACAGAAUAUGAAUUGGCCGUCCCGUUAUUUCAAACAGGUCCCAGAAUUUCAACUGCUACAUCUCAAUUAGUAGUUGAACGAGCAAGUAUAACAGACAUAAGGUUCAUAUUUAUCAACAAAGCAAAGAAAUGCUUGACUAGUAUGUAUGAUGUUUGGGCAUGUUUGAAUCUUCUGGCUGGCAAUAUAUUUUACCCCAAGUCCUUCUAGAGACAAUCAGUUAGUUUAUACAAUGUUUCCAAGAAAUUGAAUCUCUGAAUGGUAUCAAGAAAUAAUAUGAAUUGCAACAAAAACGAAAGAAAAAGAACAAUUUAAUAACAUUUGCCACUAUCAAGCAACACAUCAUUUGUACAUGCCAUAUAAUAGUAAUAUAGACUGAAAGAAUUGAAAUUUCACAAUAACUUACAAAAACUAGUAAAGCAAUCCGUCAUAUGAUUCAUGGGGUAGGAAUAGUUUUUCACUGGUUCCUACAACGUGAUUGAGAAAGCUACCCAUAAAUAAAUGCACGCAAUGAAGGAUAAGACAAAUGAUUAAGUUGAGCAGCAGCUGGCCUUCUGGUUCACCGGUUGUCCUUUUAUCUGCACAGUUGGUGGCCUUGCAUUGUUCAUUGCAGGUUGACUUGCCAUCCUACGCAGAAGAAAAACAGGUAAAUCAUUAACAAGAAACCACAACAAUAGUAAAUCCUGAUCUAUAUGUAAUAUAAUUGCGUGCCACAAUCAUAACAAAUUUUCUGAUGAAGUUGUUUAGUUCACUGAUUGAAAAGUAGCACCAAUUUUUUUUUAACACAAAGUAAGAAAAACUUCACACACUCUCAACAUUCUUGAGUAAUAAAUAUAAUUACAAAAUGUGUUACAAUGAAGAUCUACCUGUUCUUAAUGUCAGCAGUCAUAGCCAUAAAAGCUUGUUCCACGUUCAAAGAAUCCUUUGCGCUGGUCUCCAUGAACGGGAUGCCAAUUUCAUCAGCAAAUGCCUUUUGAAAUCCCAAACAAUAAGAUACAACAGGGUCAAUUGCAUUUUCAAUAAUUUUGUCAAAGUAAAUACAUAAGAUAUCUGAGGGAUGAGAAUAAUUUCACCUUCGCUGUUUCAUAAGAGACAACUUUCUUAUCAGUGAGAUCACACUUGUUUCCAACCAGAAGCUUGUUUACAUUUUCACUUGCAUAGCGAUCAAUUUCAUUCAACCACUGCUUAACGUUGUUGAAGCUCUCUUGGUCUGUAACAUCAUAAACAAUCUGCCAUACAUGCCAUCAAUUCAAUGAAAGUAGCCACACGCUAACAAAGGGUAGAACUGUGAGAAAUAAAAAUGAAACUAAGAGUUAAAGGAAAACUUACAAUAAUGCCAUGUGCUCCACGGUAGUAGCUGCUAGUGAUUGUCCUGAAUCGUUCUUGCCCUGCAGUGUCCCACUGCAUGUUCAAAACAAAUGAAAUCACUAGCUAUAAAGAAACACUGGUGAGAAACAAAAACUGCACACAAACAAUAUCAUGGAGAUGCACCAAGGAUCAAAUCAAAAUCCAUUGACAAAAGUUAAAACACAAAGAAAAGGGGGUGAAAGACCUCAAUGAAACAAAAUAUUCAAGGAAAAAUUCUCAGUGAAAACAAGAAGCACCAAUAUGAUUGUACUGAAUUAUAGCAUAAACUCAUGUAUACCAACUCGUUAAAGAGUAAAAUAAACACACAUAAACAUAAACAAACAAAAGGAAAAAGUAAGCGAACACGCACACAAAUAGACAAUGCACUAAAUCAUCAACAAGUCUAAGAAAAAACAUAAGAUUAACAAGAGAGCCUCACAAUUUGGAGUUUUACAGUCUUCCCGUCUUGCUCCACUGUGCGAAUUUUCUACAUAACAGAAAACCAGACACAAUAUUAGGAUGAAAGGUUAAAACCAAAAUAAUGAUCAAUUGAAUCUACAACUUAGUUACUUACAAAGUCAACCCCAAUAGUGCUAAUGUAACUGUCCAGGUACGAAUCAUCCUGUAAAGGAUCGACAGAAACUAAAAUGUCAGCACAAAUAGGUAAAUACGAGUUAAACUCCAGAAAUCAAACUACAUUGCAUCAAGAUUCCUUGCUCAGAAACCAAACCAUUAGUUUCAACAUGUUGUAGUAAACAAUGCAAAACAUCCAACACAGCAACUGUUGUGUGAAAUCCACAAAAUACAAUUAAGAGAUAUAGAAAUAACACACAUAUUUAGUCUCCAUUAGCUUUACUGAGUAAAAUCAAAAAAUUGCACGAGUACAAAGCAAAGGAGAAUAUCAUUUUCAUCAAUCAAUCCACAAUAGUUAAAUCAAGUAUGAUCAUUGGUUUUUCUUUCUUCUUUUAGCAACAAAAAACGCAAAGAAACCAGAAAAAAUGCCAUAACCAUCACAUUUUGUCCAGUUCUCAUAAGAAAAAAUGGAAACCUUUUUUAGGAGAAGAAAGUCUCAGUUCAGGUACAAUGACAAUGUUGUCUGUAUCCUCUACAGAACCAGAAGAAGCAAAACAAGAAAACCUAAAAUCCUAAAAAUGGUUGGAAAAAUUUCGAAAAAGAAAGGGAAAAAGAUAAAACAUUCAUCAUACCAUGAUGAAGAAGCAACUACUGAGCAGUUGGCAAAGCAUAUUCAUGAAGUUUGAAGCAGGAGAAAAUGAUUACUAAUGCAAAUGAGGCAAAAAAUGAAAAGACGAGGUUUGGAAUUUUUUAAUCUUACAGCAAAUCUCAGAAGAAGACAUGAUUUGCCAACUCCAGAAUCUCCAAUCAGCAAAAGCUUGAACAAGUAGUCACUGCAAGAACAAAAUCAAAAUAAUUUAAUCUCCAUGACUAGUGCAUCAAGAAUUCUAACAUCUAUUCCUCUCAACCACAAUCAUUUCCCUACCAAACAAAAUAUUAAUUAAGCCGUACAAUAAGAUACCCAUUACACUUGUUUGAAUUCACCCCAGCUCGAUAUUCUUUAAAACAGACCAACAUAGUACAUAAAGUCAAACAAAUUCAUUGCAUCCAUAUGAAAAUUGCCCAUUCAUCAGAAAAAUCACCACAAAGCAUCAAUGAAUUCCCAACAAAUGCCAAGUUUGACCAAGUUAUCUACUAGGCCAUUAGCUUGUAAUUCAAUGGCAAUAAAUUCAGCAAAUUACAAAAACUGAGCUGAAUUAUGUCUAAUUACAGUAAAUUUACAUCUUAUUAAAGCGUUGAUUUAACGAGAAAUUGAAACCAUAAAACAAAUCCAAAGCAAACAGAAUACAAUUAUGAUACUCAAUACAUUACAUACAUACACAAUCCAUAAUCAGAAAACACAAAGCUAACAACUUUUUGGAACAAAAUAAUUGCAGAUCCACAGAAAUUACCACUUUUAGCAAAUACCCAUAAAAGAUCUUUGGUAAAAAAAACGGAAUUCAAAUAACAAAGCUAAAUGAAUAAAACGAAAUUAAGAGGUGUAAAGAUCUGGGGGGCUUACUAUUCAGGAUUCAUGACUGCAAUAAGAUGUUGAGGGGGUUCGCGCAGAAUCGAACCGGUCCAGCUGGAGAUUGGACCGGGAGUUUGGCACAGACAAGCUAAGGAUGUGAGAUU
rnacentral:lncRNA from 1 species